rnacentral:lncRNA from 1 species
AACAAGUUCACUGCAUUGCAUUGGUUCUUUUGCGCCGUGGGAAUUCUUUCGAUUCAAUCUGUUUGUUAUGCUGGUUUCUUGGUAUAGGUGGUAGGGGAGGCCAGAGUAGAAUAGCUCGAGUAUAUUGGUUUAGUAUGCUCUUGUGUGGUAGCUGCAAUCGAUCUAUGAAUGAACCAGUCCUCAUUGCCAAGAGAUUUUAUCCUUUGGCCUUGCCCCUAUCAGUUCUGCUGCUCUUGUUUCUGAUCACACCAUACUUGCUGAAUUAAUAAUCCUUGGCUAGCUGAUGUGAUGCUGGAACGAAUGAGCAAUCUGGCUGGCAGGAAAUGUGAUCAUCUUAUUCCGCCCUAUUGCUGAAAACGAUGUCAUCUGUUUGCAGGCAGGGUUGUGUUGGUCAUUUGGUUAGUAGAUGAAAUUUCAUGGCACCGCAGCAGAAUGGCUGGCUUCUUUGUGUUCCUUGGCACUGCAGCAAAAUGGCUGUCUUCUUGUGUUCCUGGGGGCUGGGAGUCUUGUGAGAGUCUUGUGUUGGUCUUUUGGUUCAUUUCGGUUCAGGAGAUGCAAUUUCAUGGCACUGCAGCAAAAUGGCUGGUUUCUUUGUGUUCCUGGGCACUGCAGCCAGAUGGCUAGCUGCCUGCCUGUGUUCCUUGGCACUUGAGGCUGUGAAUGUCCCUGGAUAGAUGAUGACUCUGCAGAGACCACUUCUUUAAUGUUUUGCUUCAACUAAGCAAACUCUGAUGACAGAUGCAUGUUCUUGGCGCUGGACCAGACAGGGAGAUCUGUACUCUCGAAUCACGUGUUAACAAUGGAGUACUAGGUUGAUCACAACCAAUCGUUCUAGACUUCUAGCUCUACCCUGGACCCAUCAGUGGUGGACCGUGGACGUGUGGAGCUGGAGCACGCUACGCAUACCUUUGGGCUAGAGAAUCCAAUGUCUGUAUGUAACCGCUGCUCACCUGUUUGACAAAUCCAGGCCAGUGAUUUUUGGACACCACCCAGAAUUAGCGUACCAUCCAGCCUAUGCAUGUACGUAUGUUCUGUUCGCUUCGGUACAUGUAACCUACAUACUCUAUGGACAAAAGCGAUCUUAAGAGGCAAAAGUAUCCGAUUCUUCUUCUCAAGCCAGCAGCUACUCAGCUGUACUGAAGAAUAGUUCCAACUUUUUUGAGUGGCCCCGCCUUCACUUCAAGCACCAUCGAUUACUUUAGGCCAUUAUUAUAAAAGAUGGAAGGAAUUCCACCGCAAUGCUCGGCGCCGUACAUACCAUUACCAGCCCUGGUUGGUUGUAUUAGUCGCACAAGGUUCUCUAAAAUGUACUGUCGGACAAGCUAGUUUCAGCAUCAGAAACAUUGUACAGUAAUAUUUAUUUACACCAUUAUUAUGAGGUAGUGUUGAACAGGCCAAUUUGGGCGUCAGAAUUUCUCUACUAAUAUUCACAUCACUGUGUAACCAGGCCCUCCUCCGCCUUCCGGGACAGUCCACUCGAUGUUUUGCUUUGGAUCUUUUAUGUCACAAGCCUGCAGAUAGCGUCAACAGCUUAGGUGGAAGGAACAAAAGUAAGAGUCUCAAGUAAGAAGACCCUGUUCGGAAUCUCUCCACUCCGCUCCAAUAUUUCUAACUCCACGGAGCUGUGAAGCUCGGUUUUAGCCGCUCCGUGAAAAUGGGCUGCAGCCUGGUCGCUCCGGGAGCACAGUCGAGGGAGCGGAGAGGAACCGAACAGGCUCUAAGUUUCUCAAUGGUACAUCCCAAAAACUUUGAAUUGGCUAUCCAGAUCAUAACAUCGACAGUGUCACUGUGGAUUGGAUUAGUGCAACCAUGAAUGCCAGAAUCUAACAGAGGAACAUAUGCUUUCCUGAAACUACAACUUCGCAGUUCAGUGGAUGACACAAAUCCAACAAUGGGCACCCUAUGCCACCCAUGCACUGAAUAUAAAAGAAUGCAAGAUCCCUGAACCAUCAAAUGAAGAGAGCUACCUUGCAAUGAAGACAAUUUUGAGCGUUUAUGUGAAGCUUCGGGUCACCAUUCUCGUCAGAUACAUAUCUGCGUGAGAACAGAAAUGGUCAGCAGUAAAUCAGCAGCUUCUGCUUUGGGCCUUUGGCUACAAAGCACAAGCACAAAUUAUUGCACUUUAUCUAUUCCAUUGGGAGAAAAUGAUAGAUCAAGCUGGCAUGGUCAUUGCAUACUCGUAAACUCGAGCUGGACAAUAACGCGACUCUGGUCCAGCAUACUGUGGGAGAUUUACUCUUUCAGGUACUGCAGGAUCCCUCAAGCGGAGAUGAGGAGGCUGGUCAUGCUCAUGGUUUGUGUUGCUCCUGUACAGAAUAAAUUGUUAGUGAUAGAAGUACAGAUCGAGAAGGUACUCUGCAGUAUAUCCAUGGUAUCCCCCCAGAUUCAAGAUAAAGAAAUGCCAUGCAGCUACCACUUUUGAUCGGUGCAUCUGCAGUAUCUAUGGUCCUUGAAUUUGUGGAAGAAAAAGCGCUCCAUGUUUGGUCUAUCAGCUCCAAACAUUUUUAUAUAUACAGUAUGGCGUUUCUCAUGUUACUAGGUUCUAAGCUGCACGCUUAGUAAAGCACAACUAAGGUGUUGACGCAGUGUUGAAACAGUAAAGAAGUUUGAAAGAAGCCUACUGUUAUUGCUGCAGGCAUGUGUACCUGUAUAAAGAAGACGGAACGUCAAAUGACACCUGCCCAUCUGGUUUUGGAUAUGAAAUAGGCGAAUGCAGAUUGGCCAUCUGUCCACAAGGAAGUGUUCGAUCAAUCUCGCUAGUGACAGAAAUGGAACAACAUUGCGAUUUUAAUUUUCUGUUAAUAAAGAAUGUUGAGCAAUGGUACCACUUCACACUCACUUCAGUAGCUUCAUGGUCAGGUUUCCCAUGCUUCAGUGUAAAAGGUGACUUCCCUUUGAAUAUGUAGCUAACGAUUGAACAAUUAACAUGUGUAAGCGAAAUGGAUACGACAUCAAAUAACAUUAGCUUACCAAUUGGGAUCUCACCGUUCCACUGCUGACAAGGCCAUGCCAGGAAUAAAUCCGUAUUCAAAUGCCUAUAAGCAAACAAUAAAGCAUUUUUGUUCAUCUUACAAGCUUCAGAAAAAGAAAUGCAUGGCCUAUCCGCUGCACUUCUUUGAAAUAAAAUUUCAAAAACUACAAAGAAGAUGUUAUUUGGGAAACUCGUAAUAAUAAUAAUAACCACAUACUGGUCUAUAAUUCCGAGCUCUAUAGAGUUCGUCCCAUAUCCAUGACUUCUUGAGAUUCUCCCAGUACAGAUCCAUGGAAGAUCCUUCAACCAGAGCAUUGAAAGUUGCUUCGGCCGCAAGCAUACCUUUUGUGCACAUCUCUACCUUUAGUACAAGGCUUGUAUCGAUAAAACAGAUAAUUAAAUGAACUGCAAACCCUAGCUAAAAAUCUAGCGCAAACAAACACAUAGUGGAGAGAUACCUGAUUUCAUAGCGGUAUGUGAUCCUUUUAUUUUGGGAACAUUUAGGAACCCUGCAGAGCAUCCAAUAAUUGCACCACCGGGGAAAACUGGAUUUGGUAUUGACUGAAAUUAUUUAGGAACUCUAUCAGUACCAUAUUACUGAAUAUAAGUAGCAACUAGUAAAAAGCAAACACAAUACAGCUACUCCCUCCGUCCCAUAAUGUAAGACGCUUUUUGACACUAGUUUGACAGUGUCAAACUAGUGUCAAAAAGCGUCUUACAUUAUGGGACGGAGGGAGUAUUAACUAAAUAACAGAAGUGAACCACUUUUAAUAGCUGAGAAGCAAACAUAAUACAGGUUAUUCAACUGAAUAACAGAAGUGGAAUGCUACAUUAAAUGUUAAAACAUAACAUAACAAACGACCAAGACCAGAACCAUGUUUCAGCUUAGAGAGUUAAUACUGCCAGCAAUAGAUUGCACCAGUUUACCAGUAGCACCAGGUGAAACUGCACUGAUGUCUAUGUAUAAUGCCAUGUAAUAUAAAUGUAGAUUACGUAAGGAGCUUACACAUGCAUUUAUCUGUAGCCAACCAUAUCAUCUUACCUGAAAACCACCUUCAUUCAAAGUACGAGCACCAUACUGAAGAACCGUUCCACCUUCCAGAAGUGUUCUGAUCGCAGGGUGCUGCUUGAAUUUCUGAAAUAUUGGAUAGAAGAGUUUAUUCUGACAGUUAAGUGACGACAGAACUGAAAAACUCAGAUCAGCUCCAUACUAUUUGUCACCAAAAGACGAUUAUACAGAAAAUAUACACACCUGGAACUCAUCGUAUGGGCUGAGAAAAGGAUUUCGAUAAUUCAAGGCAACAACCAGACCAAUUGCUAACUGAAAUAAGAGCAAAAAUAACACUGAAUACAUGUAAUUCAAACUUCUGAACAACACUUUAGGAAGUUGCAAGCUAAAAAGAAGUAUUAAUAGCCAGUCAUCCAUGUGCAAAUCAAGGGUCAAAUGAUACAGAUGAAUUAGUGCUUCCCCUUCAAACUCAAAUGUAAAUGUUUUUGGUGUUUUCCCUUCCUUUUGGUGUUUUAGGAUCUUAGUGUUUUGAUUUCUGAUUUGGGUAGACAACAGACCGGUGCUUGUGUAGCUUCCGUGCUGUUUUGGCGUUCUUCUAAUACAAAUAACAAGUUCAACAAAAAAAAAAACUCAAGUAAAGGUUUGUGUUCAUAGAAGAGAUCAUUUGACACAGCAAAGGCAGAGGAACUUCUUUUUGCUGACUAAAUUUAGGUUGUGCGGCAAAAUGCUUCCUAUAAUCUGAGAUUGCAUAUUAUAUAUUUACACAGAUAACAAUCCUUGCAAGCAAAACAUAUAAUACGUGAUAAUGGCAAGCUGCAAAUCUCAAAAGUACCUGUCUAUCAUCAAGGUGGUACAGAAAUGAGAUUGUAUAUUAUAUAUUUUCACAGAUAACAAUCCUUGCAAGCAAAACAUAUAAUACGUGAUAAUGACAAGCUGCAAAUCUCAAAAGUACCUGUCUAUCAUCAAGGUGGUAUAGAAAUGACCCUCCAUAUGUCUUCAUGUCCAAAGGCCACCCUACAGUAUGAACCACAGAACCUGGCUUAUGCUUUCCUUCUUCUAUCUCCCAGACCUAAACGAAAGCAUCCAAUUUGGACAAAAGAAGCGUUACUAAACCAUCUUCAAGUAGUAGUUAGAAAAAAAGACAUGUAAAAUUUUAAGAGAAGAUUGUAAAUUACAAUCCAAUAACAGUAUAAAGGGCAAUCAAUAAGAUUUCUAAAACAUUGAUAAUUCUUUUGGAAAAAAUAUAUUAGAAAAUGGUGCGCGUAUGAAUGAUCCAAUGAAUGCUAACAAAUUGAGCCCUAAUGUAUGCAUAGUGCCUAUUUAGAGAUAUCCGACAAUUUAUAGUCACAGUAUAUGUAUAAUAAGGCACAUUGUCUGUAUAAUGUGGUGCUGAUGUGCAAAAACAAUAUAGUUCAGGUAAAACAAUCCUGCUUCUUUAAGUUUCAGAACUGAGAACAAGGCAAUCAUACAUGGUAUUAUUGAAUUUCAUAAUUCAAAUGGUAUCAGUGAAUGUAGAUAUACCUCUUUAAUUCCAAGAGCAUACGUUUGAUGUUGGCCUUGCCCACUUUCUCUGAGCUUGUGAUUCGUUAUUAUUUUCUGGAAAGCACAAGACAAAGAAGGAUAACGUGAUAGGCUGCAGCAUCAAUUGCAUAAUACUACAGAAGAAAUAACAUUUCAUGGACUAAAUCUAUCAAACUAGAAUUACAUAUACUAACCUCUGAUAAUGAACCCCGGCAACCCUCAGCUAGAAGUGUUAUUCGCCCUGCAAUCUAAGUAACUGACCAUGAGAAUGUGUACGUGCAUAUGGAACAACAAGAGUGGAAAAGAAAGUAUAUCAAUCUUCGAGAAAAGAACAAAUAAAAGAAAUAAGCACUAUAUACCUCUAAAACAAUUUAUAAGGAAAAUAUGCAACAUACUAUAUUUUUAUGCAAACCACCAGAUGAAGGAGAUUACUCGCCUCUUAGUUCCACACCCGGUUGAAAAGUUUCCCGUUUACUACCAUCUUUAGCAAUACCAACAUCAUUGGUUGCAACGCCUGCGACCAUUUGAUUUUCAUCAUAAAGGAUCUGUCAGAGCAGAAUUGAGGCAAAUAUUAGUCCUUCCACAAAAGUGUUCCUCAACUGGAAAAGGGUUAAAAAGGAUGGUACCUCACUCGCAGCAAACCCUGGAUACACUUCAACACCUAAUUCUUCAGCCUUUACGGACAUCCAUCGCACCAAUUGGCUCAAGCUGGACAAAAAAAGUAUGUUGGCAUACGCAGAUUCUCUGAAAUAAGAGGAAUAUAGGACUAUACAAAACAUCAAGUCGAUCGAUAAGAAAAGGAAAAUAUCAGCACCUUAUUACAUAGUUCCCUUUGUUAUCAAAAGGAGAUGGAAGUGUCCAUGCCUUGUUCUUUGUUAACAUCCAGAACUUGUCAGAUGAGACAGGGACUCUGAUUGGGGCCUGUUGAACAUAUCAUAGUCACAUAAAAAUGAGUGUACUUGGUACAUCCCACUCUUAGUUUUCCAUAGAUCACUUGUAACAAUAAACAUGAUUUUAGGAACACAAAACUUGCAUUUGUUCUAUUUAAAGUGAUUUUAGGAACACAAAACUUGCAUUUGUUCUAGUAUUUAAAGAUAUCACAACGCCCUCCCACAAAAUAAUAUCUUUAAUUUCGUAUAUUCGGCUGAAUCUAAGGCAUGUGUUCAGUAAAUCAACAACAAACAAGCACUAUUACAAAAUCAGAGUGAGCCACAAAAAAACAUAACAUAUCGAAUGCAGAAUACAGGAGGGCAUACAUCCUCUUGCCUCCACUUCGGGAUGAGCUCAUCCAGCGCACGGGGCUCGAACACAUUCCCCGACAGUACAUGAGCACCUGCGGAGCAAUAAAAAACAAAGGCCCAAAUUACAAGAGUGUCAUCAAUGCCGUCGCAAGUGUACAACGCAGCAGCGAGAACAGGAUUUUGUGUGCGAAGCGGCGCACCGACUUCGGCUCCCUUCUCGAGGACGCAGACGGAGAGGUCGGUGUCGGCCGCGCGGCAGAGCUGCUUCAGCCGGAUGGCGGCGGCGAGGCCCGCCGGGCCGGCGCCCACGAUCACGACGUCGUAGCUCAUCGCCUCCCGUUCGACCGAGAACCACCUCGCUGCGGCCGCGCCCCAGCUGGGCGCGCGGUGGCGGCGAGUCGUGGCCGUGGCGAGCCCCGCGGCCGCCGCCGCAGCCGCGCGGAGGAGUCGAUGCAUUGGGCACACGGGAAGCUUCCGGAUCGAUGGGAGAUUGCUUGGAGGUGGAGGCGUCUCGCUUCGGAAUUUUGGAGCGCGGCUGCGCAAAGUAGAGACAGAGAGAGGGAGGGGGGAGGAGGAGGAGGAAGAGAAGUCCGCGAUGAUACGGAACUGUGGAGUGGCAGUUGGCUGAGGCUCCAGCACUUGUGUAUUUUCUUCUUUCNNNNNNNNNNNNNNNNNNNNNNNNNNNNNNNNNNNNNNNNNNNNNNNNNNNNNNNNNNNNNNNNNNNNNNNNNNNNNNNNNNNNNNNNNNNNNNNNNNNNNNNNNNNNNNNNNNNNNNNNNNNNNNNNNNNNNNNNNNNNNNNNNNNNNNNNNNNNNNNNNNNNNNNNNNNNNNNNNNNNNNNNNNNNNNNNNNNNNNNNNNNNNNNNNNNNNNNNNNNNNNNNNNNNNNNNNUUUUUUUUGACAUUAACGUAGUGUAAAAGAUGCUUUUAUGUUAUGGAACGGAGGAAGUAUAAGAAAUGGGUCUUGUAUGGGCUAGUCCGUACUUCUACUGCGUUUCCAUCUCGUUCAAAUCCGUUUCUAAAGUUGUAAAGUUCAUAUCGUACCGUUGAUAGACCAGUCCUUUGUCUUGUCUAAAAAAACAGUCCUUUCUCCAAAAAAAAAACCCAAAUGAUGCCCACACGUGUGGUAGUUUUGCAACUCGCCCACUUGACACAAUUUGCCAGAUUUUGUGUGUCACGUAGGACGGAGCUGGUGUGUGGACGUUUGACAGUUCGCGCGGACGCCCGUUUUAUCGCACGGAGAGUUCGCGGUUGCUAAUCAGACGUGGAACUGCUGUCGCGCCCGCACACCCCGUACGUCUCCCAUUCAUCCUCUCCCACGUUUGCUCUUCCCCUCCUCAGUGCUGCAGUUUCCACUCCCUGCCCUUCUUUAGUUCCCAUCCCCCCCCCCACACACACACACCAACAUUCCCAUUCCAGUGCAACGGCAAGUUCUAGGCGGAGUAGACAAGAGGGGGCGGCGGCGGCGGCGGAAGAGUUGCGGGUCUUCGUGGUCGUCGCUAGUGUUCAUGCAGCUGGAGCGUCGUCGCCGGAGCAGCCACCGCGCAGAGGUAAGGCAUCGAAGCUUCUGCUGGUCCCAAUCUGCCUCCUCUCGUCUCGGUUCACAUCCUGCUCGAAUCAUUUCGAGAUUCAGCUGGAUUUUCGCGGCACUCGAGUGUUCCCUCUCGGUGGGGGAGUCGCAGGUGUGACAUUAGGACGGCAUUACCUAGUUCCGUUGCCGUCGCGAUGGAAGUCAAGCCGACGAGGCUUGCCUGUUUCCACACCGAUCUCUCUAUUUUCAAAGAUUAGACGUCUUCAAUUCUAGGUUGCAGCGAUUCUGCUGCUUUUUUGUUAGUUUUGAUGGUUUCGUAGGCAAUGAUUCUAACUAUUUUUAGGGGUGAUGUUGUGAUCGAAAUCCGGGCCUGAUAGUAGGUUAUGAACCCUAGAUUUAGUUAUCUGCAUUUCGAUUUGUACGAUAAUGGCAGUUGGAUUUAUACGGAACUGACUUAAUUGCCAUGAUUUUUUGUGCAAACAUGGCAACUUGAAUCCGCUGGUUUAGUUACCACUUUCCUACUGGAUGGCAACUACCUUUUUUUAAGCAAAAUCUGUCAGUUGCCAUGUUCUAUGUAGGAUAAUGGCAGUUUGUGUUCCAUGUAACUGACUUAGUUGCCAUGAUGUUCUGUGCAAACAUGGCAACUUGAAUCUACUGGUUUAGCUACAAUUUUCAUACUAGAUGGAAACUACCUUUUUUGAAGCAAAUCUGUCAGUUGCCAUAUUUUCGUACUUAUUUCAGGGGUCAUUUUGCCUACUGUGCAUGUAAGCAGAUGGCAACUACCUAUUUUUGUCAUGUUGUUUAAUUGACAUGUUUUUGUGCAAACAUGGCAACCUGAAUCUUUUUAGUUCACAUACAAUUUUCAACUUUUGUGUAGUUUAGUAGAUGGCAACUGCUUAUUGGACCCAAAAUUCUCAGUUGCCAUGUUUACGCAGUGAUCCGGGGUUCAUUUUUCUACUGUGCUUUUAAGUAUAUGGCAACUACAUCUAUACAGCAAGACAUUGUUUUCCAUGCGUAUUCCUUAGUACUUUUUGGCAGCUGCAUAGUUGUGCUUAGGAGCAUAUAGAAACUCCCAUUGUACCGUACGACAUUAUAUUUUGGCAUGCAUUUGCAAGUGUCACAUGGCAAUUCCCCCACUACAUUUUCAGUUUGCAGGUGAAAACUGUUGGAAAUAUGCCCUAGAGGCAAUAAUAAAAGUAUUAUUAUUAUAUUUCCUUGUUCAUGAUAAUUGUCUUUUAUUCAUGCUAUAAAUGUAUUAUCCGGAAAUCGUAAUACACGUGUGGAUACAUAGACCACAAUAUGUCCCUAGUGAGCCUCUAGUUGACUAGCUCGUUGUGAUCAACAGAUAGUCAUGGUUUCCUGGCUAUGGACAUUGGAUGUCGUUGAUAACGGGAUCACAUCAUUAGGAGAAUGAUGUGAUGGACAAGACCCAAUCCUAAGACUAGCACAAUAGAUCGUGUAGUUCAUUUGCUAGAGCUUUGCCAAUGUCAAGUAUCUCUUCCUUCGACCAUGAGAUCGUGUAACUCCUGGAUACCGUAGGAGUGCUUUGGGUGUAUCAAACGUCACAACGUAACUGGGUGACUAUAAAGGUGCACUGCAGGUAUCUCCGAAAGUAUCUAUUGUUUUAUGCGGAUCGAGACUGGGAUUUGUCACUCCGUGUAAACGGAGAGGUAUCUCUGGGCCCACUCGGUAGGACAUCAUCAUAUGCGCAAUGUGACCAAGGAGUUGAUCACGGGAUGAUGUGUUACGGAACGAGUAAAGUGACUUGCCGGUAACGAGAUUGAACAAGGUAUUAGUAUACCGACGAUCGAAUCUCGGGCAAGUAAAAUACCGCUAGACAAAGGGAAUUGUAUACGGGAUCGAUUGAGUCCUUGACAUCGUGGUUCAUCCGAUGAGAUCAUCGUGGAACAUGUGGGAGCCAACAUGGGUAUCCAGAUCCCGCUGUUGGUUAUUGACCGGAGAACGUCUCGGUCAUGUCUGCAUGUCUCCCGAACCCGUAGGGUCUACACACUUAAGGUUCGAUGACGCUAGGGUUAUAAAGGAAGCUUGUAUGUGGUUACCGAAUGUUGUUCGGAGUCCCGGAUGAGAUCCCGGACGUAACGAGGAGUUCCGGAAUGGUCCGGAGGUAAAGAUUUAUAUAUAGGAAGUCCUGUUUCGGCCAUCGGGACAAGUUUCGGGGUCAUCGGUAUUGUACCGGGACCACCGGAAGGGUCCCGGGGGCCCACCGGGUGGGGCCACCUGCCCCGGGGGGCCACAUGGGCUGUAGGGGGUGCGCCUUGGCCUACAUGGGCCAAGGGCACCAGCCCCAAGAGGCCCAUGCGCCUGGGGAAACCCUAAAGGAAGAGUCCCAGCAGGGGAAGGCACCUCCUAGGUGCCUUGGGGGGGAGGACUCCUCCCCUGGCCGCCGCCCCCUUGGAGAUUGGAUCUCCUAGGGGCUGGCGCACCCCCCCCCCCUUGGGAUCCCUAUAUAUAUAGUGGGGUAGGAGGGCCUCCCAAACACACCUUAUGCCUUUGGUGCAGCCCCUCCCUCUCUCCCAAGUUCUCCUCCUCUUCUCCCAUGGUGCUUGGCGAAGCCCUGCGGGAUUGCCACGCUCCUCCACCACCACCACGCCGUUGUGCUGCUGUUGGAUGGAGUCUUCCUCAACCUCUCCCUCUCUCCUUGCUGGAUCAAGGCGUGGGAGACGUCACCGGGCUGUACGUGUGUUGAACGCGGAGGUGCCGUCCGUUCGGCACUAGGAUCAUCGGUGAUAUGAAUCACGACGAGUACGACUCCAUCAACCCCGUUCACUUGAAUGCUUCCGCUUAGCGAUCUACAAGGGUAUGUAGAUGCACUCUCCUUUCUACUCGUUGCUGGUCUCUCCAUAGAUAGAUCUUGGUGUUACGUAGGAAAAUUUUUGAAUUUCUGCUACGUUCCCCAACAGUGGCAUCAUGAGCUAGGUCUAUUGCGUAGAUUCUUUGCACGAGUAGAACACAAAGUAGUUGUGGGCGUUGAUGUUGUUCAAUAUGCUUACCGUUACUAGUCCAAUCUUGUUUCGACGGUAUUGUGGGAUGAAGCGGCCCGGACCGACCUUACACGUACUCUUACGUGAGACAGGUUCCACCGAUUGACAUGCACUUGGUGCAUAAGGUGGCUAGCGGGUGCCAGUCUCUCCCACUUUAGUCGGAACGGAUUCGAUGAAAAGGGUCCUUAUGAAGGGUAAAUAGCAAUUGGCAUAUCACGUUGUGGUCUUGCAUAGGUAAGAAACGUUCUUGCUAGAAACCCAUAGCAGCCACGUAAAACAUGCAAACAACAAUUAGAGGACGUCUAACUUGUUUUUGCAGGGUAUGCUAUGUGAUGUGAUAUGGCCAAAAGGAUGUGAUGAAUGAUAUAUGUGAUGUAUGAGAUUGAUCAUGUUCUUGUAAUAGGAUUCACGACUUGCAUGUCGAUGAGUAUGACAACCGGCAGGAGCCAUAGGAGUUGUCUUUAUUUAUUUGUGACCUGCGUGUCAACUUAAACGUCAUGUAAUUACUUUACUUUAUUGCUAACCGUUAGCCAUAGUAGUAGAAGUAAUAGUUGGCGAGGCAACUUCAUGAAGACACGAUGAUGGAGAUCAUGAUGAUGGAGAUCAUGGUGUCAUGUCGGUGACGAUGAUGAUCAUGGAGCCCCGAAGAUGGAGAUCAAAAGGAGCAAAGUGAUGAUGGCCAUAUCAUGUCACUAUUUGAUUGCAUGUGAUGUUUAUCAUGUUUAUACAUCUUAUUUGCUUAGAACGACGGUAGUAAAUAAGAUGAUCCCUUACAACAAUUUCAAGAAGUGUUCUCCCCUAACUGUGCACCGUUGCGACAGUUCGUGUUUCGAAGCACCACGUGAUGAUCGGGUGUUAGAUUCUAACGUUCACAUACAACGGGUGUAAGACAGAUUUACACACGCGAAACACUUAGGGUUAACUUGACGAGCCUAGCAUGUACAGACAUGGCCUCGGAACACGGAGACCGAAAGGUCGAACAUGAGUCGUAUAGAAGAUACGAUCAACAUGAAGAUGUUCACCGAUGAUGACUAGUCUGUCUCACGUGAUGAUCGGACACGGCCUAGUUUGACUCGGAUCAUGUAAUCACUUAGAUGACUAGAGGGAUGUCUAUCUAAGUGGGAGUUCAUAAGAUGAACUUAAUUAUCCUGAACAUAGUCAAAAGGUUUUUGCAAAUUAUGUCGUAGCUCACGCUAUAGUUCUACUGUUUAGAUAUGUUCCUAGAGAAAAAUUAGUUGAAAGUUGAUAGUAGCAAUUAUGCGGACUAGGUCCGUAAACUGAGGAUUGUCCUCAUUGCUUCAUAGAAGGCUUAUGUCCUUAAUGCACCGCUCAGUGUGCUGAACCUCGAACGUUGUCUGUGGUUGUUGCGAACAUCUGACAUACACGUUUUGAUAACUACGUGAUAGUUCAGUUAAACGGUUUAGAGUUGAGGCACCAAAGACGUUUUUGAAACAUCGCGAAACAUAUGAGAUGUUUUGAGGGCUGAAAUUGGUAUUUCAGGCUCGUGCCCAUGUCAAGAGGUAUAAGACCUCCGAUGACUUUCUUAACCUGCGAACUAAGGAGAAAAGCUCAAUUGUUGAGCUUGUGCUCAGAUUGUCUGAGUACAACAAUCAUUUGAAUCGAGUGGGAGUUGAUCUUCCAGAUAAGACAGUGAUGGUUCUCCAAAGUCAUUGCCACCAAGCUGUUAGAGCUUCGUGAUGAACUAUAACAUAUCAGGGAUAGAUAUGAUGAUCCUUGAGGUAUUCGCGAUGUUUGACACCGCGAAAGUAGAAAUCAAGAAGGAGCAUCAAUUGUUGAUGGUUGGUGGAACCACUAGUUUCAAGAAGGGCAAGGGCAAGAAGGGAUACUUCAUGAAACGGCAAAUCAGUUGCUGCUCUAGUGAAGAAACCCAAGGUAAAACCCAAACCCGAGACUAAGUGCUUCUGUAAUAAGGGGAACAACCACUAGAGCAGAAUUACCCUAGAUACUUGGUAGAUAAGAAGGCUGGCAAGGUCGAUAGAAGUAUAUUGGAUAUACAUUGUGUUAAUGUGUACUUUGCUAGUACUCCUAGUAGCACCAGGGUAUUAGAUACCGGUUCGGUUGCUAAGUGUUAGUAACUCGAAACAAAAGGCUACGGAAUAAACGGAGACUAGCUAAAGGUGAGCUGACGAUAUGUGUUGGAAGUUUUUCCAAGCUUCAUAUGAUCAAGCAUCGCACGCUCCCUCUACCAAAGAGAUUGGUGUUAAACCUAAAUAAUUGUUGUUUGGUGUUUGCGUUGAGCAUAGACAUGAUUGGAUUACGUCUAUCGCAAUACGGUUAUUCAUUUAAGGAGAAUAAUCGUUACUCUGUUUAUUUGAAUAAUACCUUCAAUGGUCUUACACCUAAAAUGAAUGGUUUAUUAAAUCUCGAUCGUAGUGAUACACAUGUUCAUGCCAAAAGAUAGUAAUGAUAGAACCACCUACUUGUGGCACUGCCACGUAAGUCAUAUCGGUAUAAAACGCAUGAAGAAGCUCCAUAUUGAUGGAUCUUUGGGCUCACUCGUUUUUGAAAAGUUUGAGACAUGCGAACCAUGUCUAUUGGUGUAUAUGCAUGAAGAAACUCCAUGCAAAUGGACCGUUUUGACUCACUUGAUUUUGAAUCACUUGGGACAUGCAAAUCAUACCACAUGGGCAAGAUGACUGAAAAGCCUCGUUUUCAGUAAGAUGUAACAAGAUAGCAACUUGUUGGAAGCAACACAUUUUGAUGCGUGCAGUCCAAUGAGUGCUGAGGCAUGCAGUGAAUAUCGUUAUGUUCUUACUUCACAGAUGAUUCGAGUAGAUGUUGAGAAUAUUUACUUGAUGAAACACAAGUCUGAAUUAUUGAAUGGUUCAAGUAAUUUCAGAGUGAAGUAGAAGAUUGUGACAAGAGGAUAAAAUGUCUAUGAUAUGAUCAUAGAGAUGAGUAUCUGAGUUACGAGUUUUGGCACACAAUUAAGACAUUGUGGAAAUUGUUUCACAAUUAAUACCGCCUGGAACACCAUAGUGUGAUGGUGUGUCCGAACAUCAUAGUUGCACCCUAUUGGAUAUGAUGCAUACCAUGAUGUCUCUUAUCGAACUGCCAGGAUAGUUUAUGGGUUAGGCAUUAAAGACAACCACAUUCACUUUAAAUAGGGCACCACGUAAUUCCGAUGAGAUGACACCGUAUGAAUUAUGGUUUAGAGAAACCUAAGUUGUCAUUUCUUAAAGGUUUGGGGCUGCGACGCUUAUGUGAAAAAGUUUCAGGAUUAAGCUCGAACCCAAAGCGGAUAAAGUACAUCUUCAUAGGACACCCAAAACAGUUGGGUAUACCUCCUAAUUCAGAUCCGAAGGCAAUAUGAAUUGUUUCUAGAAUUGGGUCCUUUCUCGAGGAAAGGUUUCUCUCGAAAGAAUUGAGUGGGAGGAUGGUGGAGACUUGAUGAGGUUACUGAACCAUCACUUCAACCAGUGUGUAGCAGGGCACAGGAAGUUGUUCCUGUGGCACCUACACCAAUUGAAGUAGAAGCUUAUGAUAGUGAUCAUGAAACUUCAGAUCAAGUCACUCCCAAACCUCGUAGGGUGACAAGGAUACGUACUACUUCAGAGUGGUACAGUAAUCCUGUCUUGGAAGUCAUGUUGCUAGACAACAAUGAACCUACGAGCUAUGGAGAAGCGAUGGUGGGCCUGGAUUCCGAUAAAUGGCUCAAGGCCAUAAAACCCGAGAGAGGAUCCAUGUAUGAAAACAAAGUGUAGACUUUGGAAGAACUACUUGAUGGUCAUAAGGCUGUUAGGUACAUAUGGAUUUUGAAAGGAAGACAGACAAUGAUGGUAAGUGUCACCAUUGAGAAAGGUCGACUUGUCGUUGAGAUGUUUUUCGACAAGUUCAAGGAGUUGACUACGAUGAGACUUUCUCACUCGUAGCGAUGCUAAGAGUAUGUUGGAAUUAUAUUAGCAAUUACUGCAUUAUUUAUGAAAUCUUGCAGAUAGGAUGUCAAAACAUUGUUUCCUCGACGAUUCUUGAGGAAAGGUUGUAUGUGAUACAACCGGAAGGUUUUGUCUAUCCUGAAAUAUGCUAAUAAGUAUGCAAAGCUCCAGCAAUCCUUCUGAGGACUGGAGUGAGCAUCUCGGAGUUGGAAUGUAUGCUUUGAUGAUGAUCAAAGAUUUAGGGUGUAUACAAAGUUUAUGAGAAACUUGUAUUUCCAAAGAAGUGAGUGGGAGCACUAUAGAAUUUCUGAUGAGUAUAUGUUGUUGACAUAUUAAUGAUCAGAAAUGACGUAGAAUUUCUGGAAAGCAUAUAGGGUUAUUUGGAAAGUGUUUUCAAUGGAAAACCUGGAUUAAGCUACUUGAACAUUGAGCAUCAAGAUCUAUAAGGAUAGAUCAAAACGCUUAAUGGUACUUUCAAAUGAGCACAUGCCUUGACGUGAUCUUGAAGGUGUUCAAGAUGGAUCAGUCAAAAAAGGAGUUCUUGCCUGAGUUGUAAGGUACGAAGUUAAGGGCAUCCAUACCUGAGCCCUUGGCGCCUCCCUCCCUCCCGUGACACCUCCUCCUCUCCCGUAGGUGCUUGGCGAAGCCCUGCAGGAUUGCCACGCUCCUCCAUCACCACCACGCCGUUGUGCUGCUGCUGGAUGGAGUCUUCCUCAACCUCUCCCUCUCUCCUUGCUGGAUCAAGGCGUGGGAGACAUCGUCGAGCUGUACGUGUGUUGAACGCGGAGGUGCUGUCCGUUCGGCACUAGGAUCAUCGGUGAUCUGAAUCACGACGAGUACGACUCCAUCAACCCCGUUCACUUGAACGCUUCCGCUUAGCGAUCUACAAGGGUAUGUAGAUGCACUCCCCUUUCUACUCGUUGCUGGUCUCUCCAUAGAUAGAUCUUGGUGUUACGUAGGAAUUUUUUUGAAUUUCUGCUACGUUCCCCAACAGUGGCAUCAUGAGCUAGGUCUAUUGCGUAGAUUCUUUGCACGAGUAGAACACAAAGUAGUUGUGGGCGUUGAUGUUGUUCAAUAUGCUUACCGUUACUAGUCCAAUCUUGUUUCGACGGUAUUGUGGGAUGAAGCGGCCCGGACCGACCUUACACGUACUCUUACGUGAGACAGGUUCCACCGAUUGACAUGCACUUGAUGCAUAAGGUGGCUAGCGGGUGCCAGUCUCUCCCACUUUAGUCGGAACGGAUUCGAUGAAAAGGGUCCUUAUGAAGGGUAAAUAGCAAUUGGCAUAUCACGUUGUGGUUUUGCGUAGGUAAGAAACGUUCUUGCUAGAAACCCAUAGCAGCCACGUAAAACAUGCAACAACAAUUAGAGGACGUCUAACUUGUUUUUGCAGGGUAUGCUAUGUGAUGUGAUAUGGCCAAGAAGAAUGUGAUGAAUGAUAUGUGAUGUAUGAGAUUGAUCAUGUUCUUGUAAUAGGAUUCACGACUUGCAUGUCGAUGAGUAUGACAACCGGCAGGAGCCAUAGGAGUUGUCUUUAUUUUUUGUAUGACCUGUGUGUCAUUGAAGAACGCCAUGUAACUUACUUUACUUUAUUGCUAAACGCGUUAGCCAUAGAAGUAGAAGUAGUCAUUGGCGUGACAACUUCAUGAAGACACGAUGAUGGAGAUCAUGAUGAUGGAGAUCAUGGUGUCAUGCCGGUGACAAGAUGAUCAUGGAGCCCCGAAGAUGAAGAUCAAAGGAGCUAUAUGAUAUUGGCCAUAUCAUGUCACUACUCUAUUUGAUUGCAUGUGAUGUUUAUCAUGUUUAUGCAUCUUGUUUACUUAGGACGACGGUAGUAAAUAAGAUGAUCCCUUACAAAAUUUCAAGAAGUGUUCUCCCCUAACUGUGCACCGUUGCUACAGUUCGUCGCUUCUAAGCACCACGUGAUGAUCGGGUGUGAUGGAUUCUUACGUUCACAUACAACGGGUGUAAGACAGUUUUACACAGCGAAAACACUUAGGGUUAACUUGACGAGCCUAGCAUGUGCAGACAUGGCCUCGGAACACGGAGACCGAAAGGUCGAGCAUGAGUCGUAUAGUAGAUACGAUCAACAUGAAGAUGUUCACCGACGUUAACUAGUCCGUCUCACGUGAUGAUCGGACACGGCCUAGUUGACUCGGAUCAUGUAAUCACUUAGAUGACUAGAGGGAUGUCUAUCUGAGUGGGAGUUCAUAAGAUGAACUUAAUUAUCUUGAACAUAGUCAAAAGACCUUUUGCAAAUUAUGUCGUAGCUCACGCUAUAGUUCUACUGUUUUAGAUAUGUUCCUAGAGAAAAUAUAGUUGAAAGUUGAAAGUAGCAAUUAUGCGGACAGUAGAAAGCUUAUGUCCUUAAUGCACCGCUUAGUGUGCUGAACCCCAAACGUCGUUUGUGGAUGUUGCGAACAUCGGACAUACACGUUUUGAUAACUACAUGAUAGUUCAGUUAAAUGGUUUAAGUAGAGGCACCAAAGACGUUUUCGAAACGUCGCGGAACAUAUGAGAUUUUUUCGAGGGCUGAAAUUGGGAUUUCAGGCUCGUGCCCACGUCAAGAGGUUUGAGACCUCUGACGAUUUUCUUAACCUGCAAACUAAGGGAGAAAAGCCCAAUCGUUGAGCUUGUGCUCAGAUUGUCUGAGUACAACAAUCACUUGAAUCGAGUGGGAGUUGAUCUUCCAGAUGAGAUAAUGAUGUUUCCCCAAAGUCAUUUCCACCAAGCUGCUAGAGCUUCGUGAUGAACUAUAACAUAUCAGGGAUAGAUAUGAUGAUCCUUGAAAUAUUCGCGAUGUUUAACUCCGCGAAAGUAGAAAUCAAAAGGGAGCAUCAAUCGUUGAUGGUUAGUAAAACCACUAGUUUCAAGAAGGGCAAGGGCAACAAGGGAUACUUCAUGAAAUGGCAAAACAGUUGCUGCUCUAGUGAAGAAACCCGAGGUUGAACCCAAACCCGAGACUAAGUGCUUCUGUGAUAAGGGGAAUAGCCACUGGAGCAGAAUUACCCUAGGUACUUGGUAGAUGAGAAGGCUGGCAAGGUCGAUAGAAGUAUAUUGGAUAUACAUUGUGUUAAUGUGUACUUUACUAGUACUCCUAGUAGCACCAGGGUAUUAGAUACCGGUUCGGUUGCUAAGUGUUAGUAACUCGAAAUAAAAGCUACGGAAUAAACGGAGACUAGCUAAAGGUGAGCUGACGAUAUGUGUUGGAAGUGUUUCCAAUGUUGAUAUGAUCAAGCAUCGCACGCUCCCUCUACCAUCGAGAUUUGGUGUUUGCGUUAAGCAUAGACAUGAUUGGAUUAUGUCUAUCGCAAUACGGUUAUUCAUUUAAGGAGAAUAAUGGUUACUCUGUUUAUUUGAAUAAUACCUUCAAUGGUCUUACACCUAAAAUGAAUGGUUUAUUGAAUCUCGAUCGUAGUGAUACACAUUUUCAUGCCAAAAGAUAUAAGAUAGUAAUGAUAGUACCACUUACUUGUGGCACUGCCAUGUAAGUCAUGAUGGUAUAAAACGCAUGAAGAAGCUCCAUGUUGAUGGAUCUUUGGACUCACUCGUUUUGAAAAGUUUGAGACAUGCGAACCAUGUCUAUUGGUAUAUAUGCAUGAAGAAACUCCAUGCAAAUGGACCGUUUGAACUCACUUGAUUUUGAAUCACUUGAGAUAUGCAAAUCAUACCACAUGGGCAAGAUGACUGAAAAGCCUCGGUUUCAGUAAGAUGGAACAAGAUAGCAACUUGUUGUAAGUAACACAUUUUGAUGUGUCCAAUCCAAUGAGUGCUAAGGCAUGCAGUGAAUAUCGUUAUGUUCUUACUUCACAGAUGAUUUGAGUAGAUGUUGAGAAUAUUUACUUGAUGAAACACAAGUCUGAAUUAUUGAAUGGUUCAAGUAAUUUCAGAGUGAAGUAGAAGAUCAUUGUGACAAGAGGAUAAAAUGUCUAUGAUAUGAUCAUAGAGAUAAAUAUCUGAGUUACGAGUUUUGGCACACAAUUAAGACAUUGUGGAAAUUGUUUCGCAAUUAAUACCGCCUGGAACACCAUAGUGUGAUGGUGUGCCCGAACAUCAUAGUUGCACCCUAUUGGAUAUGGUGCGUACCAUGAUGUCUCUUAUCGAUUUACCACUGUAGUUCAUGGGUUAGGCAUAAGAGACAACCACAUUCACUUUAAAUAGGGCACCAUGUAAUUCCGAUGAGAUGACAUGGUAUGAAUUAUGGUUUAGAGAAACCUAAGUUGUCGUUUCUUAAAGGUUUGGGUAUGCGACGCUUAUGUGAAAAAGUUUCAGGAUUAAGCUCGAACCCAAAGCGGAUAAAAUACAUCUUCAUAGGACACCCAAAACAGUUGGGUAUACCUCCUAAUUCAGAUCCGAAAGCAAUAUGGAUUGUUUCUAGAAUCGGGUCCUUUCUCGAGGAAAAGUUUCUCUCGAAAGAAUUGAGUGGGAGGAUGGUGGAGACUUGAUGAGGUUAUUGAACCGUCUCUUCAACUAGUGUGUGACAGGGCACAGCAAGUUGUUCCUGUGGCACCUACACCAAUUGAAGUAGAAGCUUAUGAUAGUGAUCAUGAAGUUUCGGAUCAAGUCACUGCCGUACCUUGUAGGGUGACAUGGAUACGUACUACUUUAGAGUGGUACAGUAAUCCUGUCUUGAAGGUCAUGUUGCUAGACAACAAUGAACCUACGAGCUAUGGAGAAGCGAUGGUGGGCCCAGAUUCCGAUAAAUGGCUUGAGGCCAUAAAAUCCGAGAGAGGAUCCAUGUAUGAAAACAAAGUGAAGACUUUGGCAAAACGGCUCGAUGGUCGUAAGGCAAAUGAGUACGGAUGGAUUUUAAGAAGAAGACGGACGUGGAUGGAAAUGUCACCAUCUAUGAAGCUCGACUUGUUGCGAAGUGUUUUCCGACAAGUUCAAGGAGUUGACUACGAUGAGAUUUUCUCACUCGUAGUGAUGCUUAAAGUCCGUCGGAAUCAUGUUAGCAUUAGCUGCAUUUAUGAAAUCUGGCAGAUGGAUGUCAAGACAAGUUUCCUUACUAGUUUUCGUAAGGAAAGGUUGUAUGCAAUACAAUCAGAAAAUUUUUGUCGAUCCUAAGGAUGCUAAAAGGUAUGCUAGCUCCAGCGAUCCUUUUAAGGACUGAAGUGAGCAUCUCGGAGUUGGAAUGUAUGCUUUGAUGAUGAUCAAAGAUUUUGGGUUUGUACAAAGUUUAUGAGAAACCUGUAUUUCCAAAGAAGUGAGUGGGAGCACUAUAGAAUUUCUGAUGAGUAUAUGUUGAUCAGAAAUGACGUAGAAUUUCUGGAAAGCAUAUAGGGUUGUUUUGAAAGUGUUUUUCAAUGGAAAGCCUGGAUUAAGUUACUUGAACAUUGAGCAUCAAGAUCUAUAAGGAUAGAUCAAAACGCUUAAUGGUACUUUCAAAUGAGCACAUACCUUGACAUGAUCUUGAAGGUGUUCAAGAUGGACCAGUCAAAGAAGGAGUUCUUGCCUGAAUUGUAAGGUACGAAGUUAAGACUUAAAGCUCGACCACGGCAGAAUAGAGAGAAAGGACGAAGGUCGUCCCCUAUGCUUAAGACGUAGGCUCCUCAGUAUGCUAUGCUGUGUACCACACUUGAAGUGUGCCUUGCCAUGAGUCAGUCAAGGGGUACAAGAGUGAUCCAAGAAUGGCUCACAGGACAGCGGUCAAAGUUAUCCUUAGUAACUAGUGGACUAAGGAAUUUUCUCGAUUAUGGAGGUGGUAAAAGAGUUCGUCGUAAAGGUUACGGCGAUGCAAGCUUGACACCUAUCCGGAUAGCUCUGAGUAGAGAGACCGGAUACAUAUAAUGGAGCAAUAAUUUAGAAUAGCUCCAAGUAGAACAGUUGUUUGGAAUAGUUCCAAAUAGAGCUUGGUAGCUGCAUCUAGGAGAUGACAUAGAGAUUUGUGAAGCACACACGGAUCUGAAAGGUUCAGACCCGUUGACUAAAACCUCUCUCACAAGCAACAUGAUCAAACAUAAAACUCAUUGAGUGUUAAUCACAUAGUGAUGUGAACUAGACUACUGACUCUAGUAAACUCUUGGGUAUUAGUCACAUGGCGAUGUGACCUGUGAGUGUUAAUCACAUGGCGAUGUGAACUAGAUUAUUGACUCUAGUGCAAGUGGGAGACUGUUGGAAAUAUGCCCUAGAGGCAAUAAUAAAAGUAUUAUUAUUAUAUUUCCUUGUUCAUGAUAAUUGUCUUUUAUUCAUGCUAUAACUGUAUUAUCCGGAAAUCGUAAUACACGUGUGGAUACAUAGACCACAAUAUGUCCCUAGUGAGCCUCUAGUUGACUAGCUCGUUGUGAUCAACAGAUAGUCAUGGUUUCCUGGCUAUGGACAUUGGAUGUCGUUGAUAACGGGAUCACAUCAUUAGGAGAAUGAUGUGAUGGACAAGACCCAAUCCUAAGACUAGCACAAUAGAUCGUGUAGUUCAUUUGCUAGAGCUUUGCCAAUGUCAAGUAUCUCUUCCUUCGACCAUGAGAUCGUGUAACUCCUGGAUACCGUAGGAGUGCUUUGGGUGUAUCAAACGUCACAACGUAACUGGGUGACUAUAAAGGUGCACUGCAGGUAUCUCCGAAAGUAUCUAUUGUUUUAUGCGGAUCGAGACUGGGAUUUGUCACUCCGUGUAAACGGAGAGGUAUCUCUGGGCCCACUCGGUAGGACAUCAUCAUAUGCGCAAUGUGACCAAGGAGUUGAUCACGGGAUGAUGUGUUACGGAACGAGUAAAGUGACUUGCCGGUAACGAGAUUGAACAAGGUAUNNNNNNNNNNNNNNNNNNNNNNNNNNNNNNNNNNNNNNNNNNNNNNNNNNNNNNNNNNNNNNNNNNNNNNNNNNNNNNNNNNNNNNNNNNNNNNNNNNNNNNNNNNNNNNNNNNNNNNNNNNNNNNNNNNNNNNNNNNNNNNNNNNNNNNNNNNNNNNNNNNNNNNNNNNNNNNNNNNNNNNNNNNNNNNNNNNNNNNNNNNNNNNNNNNNNNNNNNNNNNNNNNNNNNNNNNNNNNNNNNNNNNNNNNNNNNNNNNNNNNNNNNNNNNNNNNNNNNNNNNNNNNNNNNNNNNNNNNNNNNNNNNNNNNNNNNNNNNNNNNNNNNNNNNNNNNNNNNNNNNNNNNNNNNNNNNNNNNNNNNNNNNNNNNNNNNNNNNNNNNNNNNNNNNNNNNNNNNNNNNNNNNNNNNNNNNNNNNNNNNNNNNNNNNNNNNNNNNNNNNNNNNNNNNNNNNNNNNNNNNNNNNNNNNNNNNNNNNNNNNNNNNNNNNNNNNNNNNNNNNNNNNNNNNNNNNNNNNNNNNNNNNNNNNNNNNNNNNNNNNNNNNNNNNNNNNNNNNNNNNNNNNNNNNNNNNCACCCCCCCCCCUUGGGAUCCCUAUAUAUAGUGGGGUAGGAGGGCCUCCCAAACACACCUUAUGCCUUUGGUGCAGCCCCUCCCUCUCUCCCAAGUUCUCCUCCUCUUCUCCCAUGGUGCUUGGCGAAGCCCUGCGGGAUUGCCACGCUCCUCCACCACCACCACGCCGUUGUGCUGCUGUUGGAUGGAGUAUUCCUCAACCUCUCCCUCUCUCCUUGCUGGAUCAAGGCGUGGGAGACGUCACCGGGCUGUACGUGUGUUGAACGCGGAGGUGCCGUCCGUUCGGCACUAGGAUCAUCGGUGAUCUGAAUCACGACGAGUACGACUCCAUCAACCCCGUUCACUUGAACGCUUCCGCUUAGCGAUCUACAAGGGUAUGUAGAUGCACUCUCCUUUCUACUCGUUGCUGGUCUCUCCAUAGAUAGAUCUUGGUGUUACGUAGGAAAUUUUUUGAAUUUCUGCUACGUUCCCCAACAAAAACUCCCUCUUUUUAUUCAGCACAUACACUGUUUUAGGGUAAACAUGGCAGUUUUCGUUUGUCGUCGACGAUAUCCACUGCCUUGUUUACUUCGUGCAUCUUUUUUGCAUCUGUUGGCUGCGUUUUCAUUUGUACUCAUGUGUAUCUGUUCUUACUGUAGCAUCAUGGUUCGUGGCAACCAGCAAGAUGAUGAUGAUGACUUCAUGGAGGUACUGCCACGGAAUCGUGCGACCAGUCAUAUGAAAGAUGGUGACGAGGUCAUUUUUCCCACCCUGUUUAGCGUGUUAUCGAUAUUACAUUCAUUCGUCAGUAGUUUUUUUAGUAUAUUGAACAUAGCAACAAUGAUCCUUUCCUGUUCUGCAAAAGAAGAAAUGCCCGUACAAUAGGGUUUCGCAAGAACGCCUUACUAUAUUAACCAAGGGUUUUACUGAUGAUCAGAAGGGAGCUGCAGGUGAGAUGGGGAUGCAUGCAUUGAUGGAUAUUCGAUGCCCAAAUGUAGUGAACCAUGUAUGUGAUUGGCUAGGUGAGAUGUACAACCCUCCGUCUAGGGAAUUUGUCAUUCCUGGACGUGGAAGACUCCCUUUGGACGAGAAAUCUGUAUUCUACACUUUGGGUGUCCCCCGUGGAGAAAUCAAAGUUACGUAUGAGGUGAACAACGAUAUUGAGGAAGUUUUGUUCCCCCGUUUGUUUCCUGGCAAGGCAUCCAUGCCUAACACGACUGUGUUGGCAACUUCGUUGGAGGGCAUGUCAACCCAUGGCGAGGUAUUUAAGAUGAUGUUGCUAAUGUACUUGAUCUUGUCUGUCUUUGCGCCUACCACGUUGCUACGCCCAAGCAACAAGUGCUUCCUUAUCCCGGUGAAUGCUUUUUGUCUUUUCUUUUUCCUACAAUGUACUGUUUUGAUGUCAUGUACUAGCAUGUUUCUGCCAGUUUGACGUUUGUUGACUGUUGACGUGUUGUUUGUUUUCAAAUCUUUGUUUAGACGAAACUGAAAGAUGUUAAAAACAUGAAUUUGUGUAAAUUCGUCGCUGACUUCCUGCAUGAUGCCUUCGCAAAUGAGAUGUACAAGAAGGGUUGUUGCCUACACCUUAUGGUAAUUUGACCGUCCGCAAAUGCUUUUAACAUGGUUAAUUCGUUCAUUAGUCACAAUACAAAGAACACAACUUUUUGUUUGUGCAUUGUAUUUCAAGUUUGAAAUAUAAUUCAUUUUUGGAUGCCUUUUAGGAAUUGAAUAAAAUUGGAGGUGUACUUGAACAUAUUUGUCAUUUUCACGGUUGUUCACAAGUGGCAACCAAAUUGUUUUGCACAUUGCAACUCUGCAUGGGCAUACUCUGUCAACUCUAGUUUGUAGAUUUUUAAUUGAUUCUUCAUGGCAACCAUAGUUGAUUGUGUGCGACAACUUUCAUUUUUGUGUUUUUACAUGUCAAGUGAAGUUGUUGAUACAUGGCAACUAUAGUUCAUGCUACAUGGCAAUUACAUUUGCACAACACACAUAGUGUUUACUUUCUCUCUCUCUCUUUUUGGUUUUGUUUUUGCAUGGUGAUACAUGGCAAACAUACAUUCACGUACAUGGCAAAUCUUUUCAUGAUCUUCUAUUUCUGACACAUGGGAGACUGCAUUGCCAAUGACGUGGAAACCACAGUUAUUUCCUUUUUCCUUUUCCCAUAAUUUCUCCAUUUUUUUGCACAAUAUUGAUUCCUGACAUGUUUUCAUUUACUUACUCUCUUUUCUGUGUAAACCAGCUCAUGUACGUUGACCGGCUUGAUUUAUAUACUGUCGAUUUUACUGAGAUAGGAGGUCCGCCGCGUCCACAUAAGUUCGCUGUCUCUGCCUGGAGUUAUGAUGCUGUCAAGGCUGUGCUUGCCGCAGACAAGAUAUCCAGUACAAAAUAUGGCAAAUUGCAGGUUAGUUCUAGUUCUAUCUUCCUUCUUCACGGCAUUUUUGAAGUUCACUGUUGGAAAGAAUAUAUAUCGUAUAUUACAUGGCAAAUAUGUGUGGUUCCCCAUGGAAAAUGUACAACACUUUACAUGGCACACAUGUUUCAAUCUGUGCAUUCUGCUAUGUCUGUGCAUUCCAUUCGACCACCUCAAUGCAUCCAUUACGGCCACCAAACUAUAAAGAACUAUGGCAACUAUGGCAAUUAUGGUUGUCUCCAUAUGGCAACUAUGCCGUUCCCCCCUCGAAUUCUUUCCUUGCAAUCCAUGGCCAUAAUCACUAUUUCUUCUUGACAUCUUUUUUUGCUAUUCUUCAGCUGAUGGCCAAGCAUGCCCUCGACUAUAGUGUGUUUGGUGGGCCACAAAAUUUCGGCAAGUGGAUGGAUGUGCAUUCAGCUCCAUCUUGUUCCGCCAAGGUAAUCAAGCACGCAUUUGUUUUUCAAUGAUCUUUUCUUGCACUUGAAUUCUUUUACGGGUUUUGACUUCUUUUUUAUACACAUGUACCAAUGUGUUUGAAUUCGUUACUUUUUGGUUCUCAUCAGGCCAGGGCUCCUGUUGAGCACCUAGUUGGGCAAUUUGCUUCCGGCAUGACCAAUCUGCUUGGGAAGUUGGUCAAGGGCUGGAUGACGUUGAAUAGUUCUAAUAGCGAUGCGGUUGUGAGGUAGUUCACAUCUUUUGUCGGAGAACGCACACAUCGUCCAACUGGCUGUCGUGGCUGGUACGACUAUAGCAGUUCUCAGGAGCUCCCUGACAUGCAAGAGGAGCUAUUCGGGGAUGAUUUUGGUGGCGUGGAUGCUGGUCUCGACAAGGAUGGUGACGAUGAUAUGCAGAAUGUGCGACAUGACACUGACCAUGAUGAACCUCUAGAAGUUCGUGUAGGAGGCAACAAAGAUAAGGCUCCACCAAAUGUUCCUCCAUCCGAAGGAGGCAUCGCCUCAACUGUUGCGGGAGACACAUGUGUUUCUCUCUCGAAGAGGGGUAGGGCUCCAGAGGAUGCAAUCCAGGGCCCUGGUGGCAAGAGGUGUAGGACCGAUCAUGUUGCUGCUAGGAGGAGGUCUGCGGUUUAUUUAUUGUGUCAUUCAUUGCUUCUUUUCCCACCCAUCUUUUCCUGGUAUGUAUGCCAUGAUUUUGUGUUCUCAUACCUUUUUUUUGCAAUUUUUGCUCUUUUUUUCCUGUUUUGUGUGUAGCGAGGCGACAGCUGGUUGCCGAUCAAUCAAAUAGAAACAAGCUUCCACGCCAUCUCGUGCUUUUGCCCGGCUGAACUAGGGGGCACCCAAUGCUACUGCCACCAUUUCCACUCGAUCGUCUCUUCGCACAUUGACGUCCAAUACCGGGGAUCCUGUCCCUAUUGUGCUGGAAGACUUGAGGAAAACAAGCAGGAGGUGGGUUCUCCCCUUUUUUCUAUAUUUUUUGUGAUUGAGCUAUUUUCAUUAUGUCUGAAUACGGAAUACAUUUUUUUGAAUUAUUCAUGGCAAUUGCAGCAUGUUGCAUGUCAACUUAUUAAUAGUCCGAAACGCUAUUUUUUGUUUAUGCAUUCCGUAAUCAUAGGCAAUUGUAUUGUGCCCAACAUGGCAACUCUUGUCUGUCCCGCUGAAAGGAUCGAGAUGGACCUAGAGGGGGGGGGGGUGAAUAGGUACACUUACAAAUUUUAAUUAUUACUUAGAAAUUUUAGGCAAUAAUGCGGAAUAUGAAAGUGAGCCUAACAAUUGCAAGUGUAGUACUAAGUGCUAAGCAAGUAACACGAGUAUGUAAGUGAGCAAGCACAAUAUGAUAUAAGUAAGUGCUAAGAGACAAGUAGCCACAAGUAGAGAGUUAUGAUUAGGAAUAACCGCAACUCCGGGAGACGAGGAUGUAUGCCGAUGUUCACUUCCUUGGAGGGAAGCUACAUCACAAUUAGAGAGGUGGAUGUUACCACGAAGGCACACCAACGCCAUGAAGGCUCACCCUAUUCUCCCUUUGAGACAACACCAUGGAGGCGUUUCUCAACCACUAGUGGUAGACCUUGGGGUGGUAUCUAAACCCUCACAAACUUUUCCGGGGGUAAUCACAAAGGUCGAUUCCUCUCUGAAAGACCCCUACCGCCUAGGAGUCUCCAACCUCCAAGAGUGACAAGAACGAUGGGGAAAAGCUCAAGACUUGCUCAAAUCACGAAUUCCUUUGGUGCAAAGAAGGAGAAGGAGUGGAUCUAUCACUUGAUCGGACAACUUCUCUCAAAUGCUCUCAAAUCCCUUGGGGAUCUAAGAUUUGGUGUGGACGAGUGAUAGAGAGAGUGAAAUGUGUUCUAGGGUUUGUUCAAAAUGAGUGGUCAGCCCUCUCCCGUGGGGAAGAAGGGCUAUAUAUAUAGUGUGAGCACAAUUAUGGCUGUUGUAGUGUAAGUGAAUGGGCAGCCCGGACAUCCGGGCUAGGGGCCGGACAUCCGGCCUGGCAAGGUUCGAGGAACAAAAACAGAACCAGAACAGAAAACAGAGGGGCCGGGCAUCUGGGGGCCAAGCCCGGACAUCCGGCCUGACAUCCGGCGUGAUCACUAACAGGUUAUAGAACCUCAGCUGUUCUACGGGUAGUGGAGGCCGGACAUCCGGGAUAUGGCCUGGACAUCCGGCGUAUCAGGAAGGUCCGGACAUCCGGGGAAACACUCGGACAUCCAUCGUGCAGCAUAGCACAAAAGUGUUCUCUGGAUGGCUAGGCCCGGAUAUCCGGCAAGUAGGCCGGAUAUCCGGCGUGAGGCCCGGACAUCCGGCUUGAAUCCCGGACAUCCGGCAGCCAAGAGACAGAAACAUGAAGGUUUUAGCAUGUGCAUGUAUGGCAAUGAGGUUUGUGGCAAGAGCAAGCAUUUAACUAACCCUAUCGAUCCCUUCUUAAUAGUGCGAGAUCCUAUACUCAAGAAAACAAAUAUGAAAUCAAUUUUUAUGCUUCAUCCUUGAGUAAAAUCACUUUGUAUGCUCUUGAUCCACACACUUCGAUGAACCGGGGACUAACACCUGAGAUUUACUUAACAACCAUUGUUAGUUCCCUACAUGUAUAUUGUCAUCAACAUGAAAACAUGAUGUAAGGGCAUGAUUGCUCUUUCAAUCUCCCCCUUUUUGUUUGUUGAUGACAAUCACACAUGUAGUAUCACUGUUGCAAUAAAUAAUCUUAGCAUUGACAAACAUGAGAGCAAGAAUACAAAGUAUGUUGAUGUUUCUAUUUGUAUUUAGCUCCCCCUCAUUGUGAGCAUGAGAUGAAUAUGUUAGGAUGCAUAUGUAUCUCUAGGAGAUAUAUAUGUGAGAGACAUGCACAUAUGAAACCACCAUAACACAUGGACUAAAAAACAUUUCAUAGCCACAAGGUAACAACAUAGUCUCACAUGAUCAAGAUAAUAACAUAGGUAGCAACAUAACAAGUUUGAAUAAUAGUAGAGCUAACACAAAUAGCCAACACAUCAUAGCAUGACCAUACUAAGAUACUACUUCUCCCCCUUUGACAACAACAAGUAACAAGGGGCAAAGAACUAAAUGGACUCGGUCACUCCUGGCGGAUGUCAUCAUGCUCAACAAAGAACUCGGGAUACUCAUCAUGAGACGGGAAACCGAAAGUAGAAGUGGACAGAGCCGCAGGAAUAGGAUCAUCAUCACUCAUGGGACUCCCACGGUCACGGAGGCACUGCUUGAGCUGAUUCUUGGAGAUGAUGAGGCGCUUCUGAACAACAUGAUUCUGCUGACAGUUGAAAGUGAUUGCCCUCAUGAUAGCAGAUUGAGCCUUGCCGAAGAACGAGGCAAGGCGUCCACGAGGAGUCGACAAGGAAGAUGGAACAGAGGAACCAGUGGGCUGAGUCCCACCAGCAGACCUCCUAGGCUGAGUAGGAGCAGCAGUCUGAGCAGUAGCCACCACGCGCAUAUGAGGAGGAGGCUUCCAAAUGGAAUGAACAACAAUCUUGACCACCUCAAAGGGAGCAGUGUGAUCAAUCAGAGCCUGAAUGAAUGGAGCAUGAGGAAACUGGUGCAUCUGAAUGAAACUGCAAAGAUGGAUCUCAUGCCAAAUGAAAUGGGUUGUGUCCAGAGGCUUAUUGGGUUUGUCAUGCAUACGAACCAUCAAGUCAAUGCAAUAGUUGUAAGCCCUCGAGCGAUCUCCCUUCUUAGGAUAGAGAGUGCAAAGCACACACUGAUAGAGGACGUAGUAAGGAGCACGGAAGAUAGAUACCUCAUUGAGUGGAUAUUCAAGUUCUUCUUUAGUGAGCUGAGAGGUAGAUUUUACAAGUGGCAAGCAAGCGUUAAUCCCUUUGGGCUUGUACCCUGGAUCCAUACUGAGGAUGCAAUGGCCAACACCGGAGAGACCGAAAAUCUGAACAAACCUGUCAUAGAUGAUGCUCAGAGUAGUGUUAUCGGUCAUCCAGGUGAGAGUGUUGUCCGGACCAAAGAAACUGGUGGCAUAGAACUGUAGAAUGGCAGCUUCAUUCCAAUCACACCUGAAGGUCAUUGCGGGACCAAGAGUCAUAUCAUCAAUGAUCUUGACCGAAUUGUUAGGAAACAUGGCAGGAUGAUCAUGCAGGAAGUUGAGAUCCAAGUAUGAGUGAGGAGCAAGUCCACGCCCAUGGACGAAACUGGAAUAUAGAUCCUGCUGCAUAUGAGUCCGGAACCGAGGAUCCUCGCCAUCAGCCACCAUCUCAUAUUGAUUGGCAUCCUGACGAAACACAAGAUAUUGACCCGCCCCACAGUUUUGAAGUUGUGAGGGGGGCGAUCCCCGCUGACAGGAAGCUCCAUGGAGAUGCGACGACCAUGGACAACGGGCAUUGCAGAACCACGAACUUGAGGCACUGGCGCCCUCCUAGUACCAGGCUUGGACUGUCCAACGGAGUGUCUUGGUGCACUGACAUCCUCUUCCUCCCCAACAUAGUCCGCAUCAUCUGGAUCCGAGGCCGACGGACUAGUGUGGUGCCCGCUUCUUCUUCUUGUUGGUGGUCUUCUUCUUCUUAGGCCGAGCAUGCUCAUCGGAGUCGGUUGAGCCUUGCCGGCGAACAACUAGAAUGGAUAAUGAUAGAUCCAGAUGAGAAGGGGCCAACAAGUAUGAACACAGAUAACACAAAUUAAAACAAUGGGAUGAACAUUUUUGAGCAUGACCAUAGAAUAAGUCCAGUGGUAGAUCAAAAAUUGUGACAUCCAUGAUUUAAAUUGAUUAGGCGAGUACAUAGAAAGAUUUUUAGGCUUAGGCAAGAGACACCAAAACUCUAAAGAGAUAUAGACGCCAAGAUAUGCAUGAGAGAGUGAAGCCCUAAGAUUUUCCGGUCACCAUAAAAGUAGAAUGGAGGAUAGGUAGCAUCCAUACCCCGGGAAGAAGGCUCNNNNNNNNNNNNNNNNNNNNNNNNNNNNNNNNNNNNNNNNNNNNNNNNNNNNNNNNNNNNNNNNNNNNNNNNNNNNNNNNNNNNNNNNNNNNNNNNNNNNNNNNNNNNNNNNNNNNNNNNNNNNNNNNNNNNNNNNNNNNNNNNNNNNNNNNNNNNNNNNNNNNNNNNNNNNNNNNNNNNNNNNNNNNNNNNNNNNNNNNNNNNNNNNNNNNNNNNNNNNNNNNNNNNNNNNNNNNNNNNNNNNNNNNNNNNNNNNNNNNNNNNNNNNNNNNNNNNNNNNNNNNNNNNNNNNNNNNNNNNNNNNNNNNNNNNNNNNNNNNNNNNNNNNNNNNNNNNNNNNNNNNNNNNNNNNNNNNNNNNNNNNNNNNNNNNNNNNNNNNNNNNNNNNNNNNNNNNNNNNNNNNNNNNNNNNNGAGAGGAGGAGAAUCUGUGAGCAGGAGAUCAGGGCCGAAGGUCAGAAGAGAGGGCCGGGCAGCGUCGGAGCGACGGCCGGGCGGUAGAGGCUGUGUGUGGCGAGAUGGGGAUAUGAACGAGAGUGAAUGAGGAACUGCCCCCAAAAUCCCACGCCUCUCCCCAGUUAUAUGUGGCUGCGGGCGACGGGCCGAACAUCCGAGGCUAGGCCCGGAUAUCCGGCAAGCGGAGGUCAAAGAGCAGAAGAAUCAGCGCCAACGACCCGGACAUCAGGGUAUAAGCCCGGAUAUCCGACAUGUGGGUCAAGGAGCAAAAUAUUCAGGGCCCGAAUGUCCGGCAAGAGCCCGGAUGUCCGACCACUGAAAGUGCACGAUUGCAGUUUGAGCUCAGAAGGAUUUUACUCCAGGGCCCGGAUGUCCGGCUGAGAAGCCGGAUGUCCAGUCACUGGACAACAAGACCAGGCAGGGGAGAGAUGUGGAAGGGACCAACAAAUAUGAUUUGAUAUAGACUCUGCCAAGGAAUUUUGAUGAGAAUUAUUAGGAAAAUAAAACUUGAGUAAUCUAAGGCCAUACUAAGAUGUAAUAACAACCCAACCAAAAUAAGUAAUGAAAGGUCCACACAAGCAAUGCACAAGCGGUGACUGAGGUCACCAUGUUUGAGCAUAUGGAAUAUGUUGGAAAUAUGCCCUAGAGGCAAUAAUAAAAGGGUUAUUAUUAUAUUUCCUUGUUCAUGAUAAUUGUCUUUUAUUCAUGCUAUAACUGUAUUAUCCGGAAAUCGUAAUACACGUGUGAAUACAUAGACCAUAACAUGUCCCUAGUGAGCCUCUAGUUGACUAGCUCGUUGGUCAACAGAUAGUCAUGGUUUCCUGACUAUGGACAUUAGAUGUCAUUGACAACGGGAUCACAUCAUUAGGAGAAUGAUGUGAUGGACAAGACCCAAUCCUAAGCAUAGCACAAGAUCGUGUAGUUCGUUUUGCUAGAGCUUUUUCAAUGUCAAGUAUCUCUUCCUUAGACCAUGAGAUCGUGUAACUCCCGGAUACCGUAAGAGUGCUUUGGGUGUACCAAACGUCACAACAUAACUGGGUGACUAUAAAGGUGCACUACAGGUAUCUCCGAAAGUGUCUGUUGUGUUGACACGGAUCGAGACUGGGAUUUGUCACUCCGUAUGACGGAGAGGUAUCUCUGGUCCCACUCGGUAAUGCAUCAUAAUAAUGAGCUCAAAGUGACAAAGUGUUUGGUCACGGGAUCAUGCAUUACGGUACGAGUAAAGUGACUUGCCGGUAACGAGACUGAACGAGGUAUUGGGAUACCGACGAUCGAGUCUCGGGCAUGUAACGUACCGUGAAUUGUAUACGGGGUUGUUCGAAUCCUCGACAUCGUGGUUCAUCCGAUGAGAUCAUCGAGGAGCAUGUGGGAGCCAACAUGGGUAUCUAGAUCCUGCUGUUGGUUAUUGCCUGAGAGCCGUCUCGGUCAUGUCUACGUGUCUCCCGAACCCGUAGGGUCUACACACUUAAGGUUCGGUGACGCUAGGGUUGUAUGAAUAUGAGUAUGCAUCAUAUCGAAUGUUGUUCGGAGUCCCGGAUGAGAUCCCGGAAGUCACGAGGAGUUCCGGAAUGGUCCGGAGGUAAAGAAUUAUAUAUAGGAAGUGGUAUUUCGGCCAUCGGGAAAGUUUCGGGGUCACCGGUAUUGUACCGGGACCACCGAAAGGGUCCCGGGGGUCCACCGGGUGGGACCACCCAUCCCGAAGGGCCCCAAGGGCUGAAGUGGGGAGGGGAACCAGCCCAUAGUGGGCUAGUGCACCCCCCUUGCCCCACCCCCUGCGCCUAGGGUUGAAACCCUAGGGUGGGGGGGGGGGCGCCCCACUUGCCUUGGGGGGCACUCCACCCCCCUUGGCCGCCGCCCCCUUGGGAGAUUGGAUCUCCCAGGCCCCCUCCUGGGGGCCUAUAUAAAGGGAGGGGGAAGGGGCAGCCGCACCCUGAAGUUCUGGCGCCCCCUCCCCCUGCUACACCUCUUCCUCCUCCGUCACGUGCUUGGCGAAGCCCUGCCGGAGUGCUGCUGUUCCACCACCACCACGCCGUUGUGCUGCUGCUGGAGCCAUCAUCAUCAACCUCUCCUUCCCCCUUGCUGGAUCAAGAAGGAGGAGACGUCAUCCGCUCCGUACGUGUGUUGAACGCGGAGGUGCCAUCCGUUCGGCGCUAGGAUCUCCGGUGAUAGGAUCACGACAAGAACGACUACUUCAACCCCGUUCUUUUGAAUGCUUCCGCUCGCGAUCUACAAAGUGGUAUGUAGAUGCAUCUCCCAUGACUCGUAGCUUAGAUGAACUCAUAGAUGGAUCUUGGUGAAACCGUAGGAAAAAUUUUAAUUUUCUGCAACGUUCCCCAACAGUGGUAUCAGAGCUAGGUCUAUGCGUAGUUCUCUAUUGCACGAGUAGAACACAAUUUUGUUGUGGGCGUAGAUCUUGUCAACUUGCUUGCCGCUACUAGUCUUAUCUUGCUUCAGCGGUAUUGUGGGAUGAAGCGGCCCGGACCAACCUUACACGUACACUUACGUGAGACCGGUUCCACCGACAGACAUGCACUAGUUGCAUAAGGUGGCUGGCGGGUGUCUGUCUCUCCCACUUUAGUUGGAGCGGAUUCGAUGAAAAGGGUCCUUAUGAAGGGUAAAUAGAAGUUGACAAAAAUCACAUUGUGGUUAUUCGUAGGUAAGAAAAUGUUCUUGCUAGAACCCAAUUGCAGCCACGUAAAAGAUGCAACAACAAUUAGAGGACGUCUAACUUGUUUUUGCAGCAAUUGUCAUGUGAUGUGAUAUGAAGUUGUGAUGAAUGAUGAAUGACAUAUUGUGAUGUAUGAGAUCAUGUUCUUGUAAUAGGAAUCACGACUUGCAUGUCGAUGAGUAUGACAACCGGCAGGAGCCAUAGGAGUUGUCUUUAUUUUUGUAUGACCUGCGUGUCAUUGAAGAACGCCAUGUAAAUUACUUUGCUUUAUUGCUAAACGCGUUAGCCGUAGAAGUAGAAGUAGUCGUUGGCGUGACAACUUCAUGAAGACACGAUUAUGGAGAUCAUGAUGAUGGAGAUCAUGGUGUCAUGCCGGUGACGAAGAUGAUCAUGGAGCCCCGAAGAUGGAGAUCGAAGGAGCUAUAUGAUAUUGGCCAUAUCAUGUCACUACUAUAUAAUUGCAUGUGAUGUUUAUUAUGUUUAUGCAUCUUGUUUACUUAGAACGACGGUAAUAAAUAAGAUGAUCCCUUAUAAUAAUUUCAAGAAAGUGUUCCCCCUAACUAUGCACCGUUGCUAAAGUUCGUCGUUUCGAAACACCACCUGAUGAUCGGGUGUGAUAGAUCCUUACGUUCACAUACAACGGGUGUAAGACAGAUUUACACAUGCAGAACACUUAGGGUUAACUUGACGAGCCUAGCAUGUACAGACAUGGCCUCGGAACACAGAGACUGAAAGGUCGAACACGAGUCGUAUGGAAGAUAUGAUCAACAUGGAGAUGUUCACCGAUGAUGACUAGUCCAUCUCACGUGAUGAUCGGACACGGCCUAGUCGACUCAGAUCGUGUAACACUUAGAUGACUAGAGGGAUGUCUAAUCUGAGUGGGAGUUCAUUAAAUAAUUUGAUUAGAUGAACUUAAUUAUCGUGAACUUAGUCUAAAACUUUUGCAAAAUAUGUCUUGUAGAUCAAAUGGCCAACGCUCAUGUCAACAUGAACUUCAACGCGUUCCUAGAGAAAACCAAGCUGAAAGAUGAUGGCAGCAACUAUACAGACUGGGUCCGGAACCUGAGGAUCAUCCUCAUAGCUGCCAGGAAACAAUAUGUCCUAGAAGGACCGCUAGGUGACGCUCCCGUCCCAGAGAACCAAUACAUUAUGAAUGCUUGGCAGUCUCGUGCUGAUGAUUACUCCCUCGUUCAGUGCGGCAUGCUUUACAGCUUAGAACCGGGGCUCCAAAAGCGUUUUGAGCAACAUGGAGCAUAUGAGAUGUUCGAGGGGCUAAAACUAGUUUUCCAAGCUCAUGCCCGGGUCGAGAGAUAUGAAGUCACCCACAAGUUCUAGAGUUGUAAGAUGGAGGAAAAUAGUUCUGUCAGUGAGCAUAUACUCAAAAUGUCUGGGUUGCACAACCGCCUGUCCCAGCUGGACGUUAACCUCCCGGAUGAGGCGGUCAUUGACAGAAUCCUUCAGUCGCUCCCACCAAGCUACAAGAGCUUUGUGAUGAACUACAAUAUGCAGGGGAUGGUGAAGACCAUUCCUGAAGUAUUUUCAAUGCUGAAGUCGGCAGAGGUUGAAAUCAAGAAAGAACAUCAAGUGUUGAUGGUCAAUAAGACCACUAAGUUCAAGAAGGGCAAGGGUAAGAAGAACUUCAAGAAGGACGGCAAAGAUGGUGCCGCGCCCGGUAAGCCAGUUGCCGGGAAGAAGUCAAAGAAUGGACCCAAGCCUGAAACUGAGUGCUUUUAUUGCAAGGGGAAGGGUCACUGGAAGCGGAACUGCCCCAAAUACUUAGCGGACAAGAAGGCCGGCAAAACCAAAGGUAUAUGUGAUAUACAUGUAAUUGAUGUGUACCUUACCAGUACUCAUAGUAACUCCUGGGUAUUUGAUACCGGUGCCGUUGCUUAUAUUUGUAACUCAUAGCAGGAGCUGCGGAAUAAGCAGAGACUGGCGAAGGACGAGGUGACGAUGCGCGUCGGGAAUGGUUCCAAGGUCGAUGUGAUCGCCGUCGGCACGCUACCUCUACAUUUACGUACAGGAUUAGUUUUAAACCUCAAUAAUUGUUAUUUAGUGCCAAGUUUGAGCAUGAACAUUGUAUCUGGAUCUCGUUUGAUACGAGAUGGCUACUCAUUUAAAUCCGAGAAUAAUGGUUGUUCUAUUUAUAUGAGAGAUAUGUUUUAUGGUCAUGCCCCGAUGGUCAAUGGUUUAUUCUUAAUGAAUCUCGAAUGUAAUGUUACACAUAUUCAUAGUGUGAAUACCAAAAGAUGCAAAGUUGAGAACGAUAGUCCCACAUACUUGUGGCACUGCUGCCUUGGUCACAUUGGUGUCAAGCGCAUGAAGAAGCUCCAUGCUGAUGGACUUUUAGAGUCUUUAGAUUAUGAAUCAUUUGACACAUGCGAACCAUGCCUCAUGGACAAAAUGACCAAGACCCCGUUCUCCGGAACAAUGGAGCGAGCAACCAACUUGUUGGAAAUCACACAUACCGAUGUGUGCGGUCCAAUGAGCGUUGAGGCUCACGGAGGAUAUCGUUAUGUUCUCACUCUCACUGAUGACUUGAGUAGAUAUGGGUAUGUCUACUUGAUGAAACACAAGUCUGAGACCUUUGAAAAGUUCAAGGAAUUUCAGAAUGAAGUAGAGAAUCAACGUGACCGAAAUAUAAAAUUCUUACUAUCGGAUCGUGGAGGAGAAUAUUUAAGUCACGAAUUUGGUACACACUUAAGAAAAUGUGGAAUCGUUUCACAACUCACGCCGCCUGGAACACCUCAGCGUAACGGUGUGUCCGAACGUCGUAAUCGCACUCUAUUGGAUAUGGUGCGAUCUAUGAUGUCUCUUACCGAUUUACCGCUAUCAUUUUGGGGAUACGCUCUAGAGACAGCUACAUUCACUUUAAAUAGGGCACCGUCUAAAUCCGUUGAGACGACACCGUAUGAAUUAUGGUUUGGGAAGAAACCUAAGCUGUCGUUUCUAAAAGUUUGGGGAUGCGAUGCUUAUGUCAAGAAACUUCAACCUGAAAAGCUCGAACCCAAGUCGGAAAAAUGCGUCUUCAUAGGAUACCCUAAGGAAACCAUUGGGUAUACCUUCUACUUAAGAUCGGAGGGCAAGAUCUUUGUUGCCAAGAACGAAUCCUUUCUGGAAAAAGAGUUUCUCUCGAAAGAAGUAAGUGGGAGGAAAGUAGAACUCGAUGAAGUACUACCUCUUGAACAGGAUAGUAGUGCAGCUCAGGAAGAUGUUCCUGUGAUGCCUACACCAACUGAAGAGGAAAAUAAUGAUGAUGAUCAAGGUACUUCGGAUCAAGUUGCUACUGAACUUCGUAGGUCCACAAGGACACGUUCCGUACCAGAGUGGUACGGCAACCCUGUCCUGGAAAUCAUGUUGUUAGACAACGGUGAACCUUCGAACUAUGAAGAAGCGAUGGCGGGCCCAGAUUCCAACAAAUGGCUUGAAGCCAUGAAAUCCGAGAUAGAAUCCAUGUAUGAAAACAAAGUAUGGACUUUGACUGACUUGCCCGAUGAUCGGCGAGCGAUAGAAAACAAAUGGAUCUUUAUAUGGAAGCUCCAGCGAUCCAUUUAUGGGCUGGUGCAAGCAUCUCGGAGUUGGAACAUUCGCUUGGAUGAGAUGAUCAAAGCGUUUGGGUUUAUGCAGACUUAUGGAGAAGCCCGCGUUUACAAGAAAGUGAGUGGGAGCUCUGUGGCAUUUCUCAUAUUAUAUGUAGAUGACAUACUCUUGAUGGGAAAUGAUAUAGAACUUUUGGACAGCAUUAAGGCCUACUUGAAUAAGUGUUUUUCAAUGAAGGACCUUGGAGAAGCUGCUUACAUAUUAGGCAUCAAGAUCUAUAGGGAUAGAUCAAGACGCCUCAUAGGUCUUUCACAAAGCACAUACCUUGAUAAGAUUUUGAAGAAGUUCAAAAUGGAUCAGUCCAAGAAAGGGUUCUUGCCUGUACUGCAAGGUGUGAGAUUGAGCUCGGCUCAAUGCCCGACCACGGCAAAAGAUAAAGAAGAGAUGAGCGUCAUCCCCUAUGCCUCAGCCAUAGGAUCUAUUAUGUAUGCCAUGUUGUGUACUAGACCUGAUGUAAACCUUGCCGUAAGUUUGGUAGGAAGGUACCAAAGUAAUCCCGGCAAGGAACACUGGACAGCGGUCAAGAAUAUCCUGAAGUACCUGAAAAGGACAAAGGACAUGUUUCUCGUUUAUGGAGGUGACGAAGAGCUCGCCGUAAAGGGUUACGUCGACGCUAGCUUCGACACAGAUCUGGAUGACUCUAAGUCACAAACCGGAUACGUGUAUAUGUUGAAUGGUGGAGCAGUAAGCUGGUGCAGCUCAAGCAGAGCGUCGUGGCGGGAUCUACAUGUGAAGCGGAGUACAUGGCAGCCUCGGAGGCAGCGCAUGAAGCUAUUUGGGUGAAGGAGUUCAUCACCGACCUAGGAGUCAUACCCAAUGCGUCGGGGCCGAUCAAACUCUUCUGUGACAACACUGGAGCUAUUGCCCUUGCCAAGGAGCCCAGGUUUCACAAGAAGACCAGGCACAUCAAGCGUCGUUUCAACUGCAUCCGUGAAAAUGUUCAAGAUGGAGACAUAGAUAUUUGCAAAGUACAUACGGAUCUGAAUGUCGCAGAUCCAUUGACUAAACCUCUCUCGCGAGCAAAACAUGAUCAACACCAGAACUCUAUGGGUGUUCGAUUCAUCACAAUGUAACUAGAUUAUUGACUCUAGUGCAAGUGGGAGACUGUUGGAAAUAUGCCCUAGAGGCAAUAAUAAAAGGGUUAUUAUUAUAUUUCCUUGUUCAUGAUAAUUGUCUUUUAUUCAUGCUAUAACUGUAUUAUCCGGAAAUCGUAAUACACGUGUGAAUACAUAGACCAUAACAUGUCCCUAGUGAGCCUCUAGUUGACUAGCUCGUUGGUCAACAGAUAGUCAUGGUUUCCUGACUAUGGACAUUAGAUGUCAUUGACAACGGGAUCACAUCAUUAGGAGAAUGAUGUGAUGGACAAGACCCAAUCCUAAGCAUAGCACAAGAUCGUGUAGUUCGUUUUGCUAGAGCUUUUUCAAUGUCAAGUAUCUCUUCCUUAGACCAUGAGAUCGUGUAACUCCCGGAUACCGUAAGAGUGCUUUGGGUGUACCAAACGUCACAACGUAACUGGGUGACUAUAAAGGUGCACUACAGGUAUCUCUGAAAGUGUCUGUUGUGUUGACACGGAUCGAGACUGGGAUUUGUCACUCCGUAUGAAGGAGAGGUAUCUCUGGGCCCACUCGGUAAUGCAUCAUCAUAAUGAGCUCAAAGUGACCAAGUGUUUGGUCACGGGAUCAUGCAUUACGGUACGAGUAAAGUGACUUGCCGGUAACGAGACGGAACGAGGUAUUGGGAUACCGACGAUCGAGUCUCGGGCAUGUAACGUACCGAUUGACAAAGGGAAUUGCAUACGGGGUUGUUCGAAUCCUCGACAUCGUGGUUCAUCCGAUGAGAUCAUCGAGGAGCAUGUGGGAGCCAACAUGGGUAUCCAGAUCCCGCUGUUGGUUAUUGCCCGAGAGCCGUCUCGGUCAUGUCUACGUGUCUCUCGAACCCGUAGGGUCUACACACUUAAGGUUCGGUGACGCUAGGGUUGUAUGAAUAUGAGUAUGCAACAUAUCGAAUGUUGUUCGGAGUCCCAAAUGAGAUCCCGGACAUCACGAGGAGUUCCGGAAUGGUCCGAAGGUAAAGAAUUAUAUAUAGGAAGUGGUAUUUCGGCCAUCGGGAAAGUUUCGGGGUCACCCGGUAUUGUACCGGGACCACCGAAAGGGUCCCGGGGGUCCACCGGGUGGGGCCACCCAUCCCGGAGGGCCCCAAGGGCUGAAGUGGGGAGGGGAACCAGCCCAUAGUGGGCUGGUGCGCCCCCCUUGGCCCACCCUCUGCGCCUAGGGUUGAAACCCUAGGGUGGGGGGGGGGGGCGCCCCACUUGCCUUGGGGGGCACUCCACCCCCCUUGGCCGCCGCCCCCUUGGGAGAUUGGAUCUCCCAGGGCCGGCGCCCCCCCUGGGGGCCUAUAUAAAGGGAGGGGGGGAAGGGGGCAGCCGCACCCUGAAGUUCUGGCGCCCCCUCCCCCUGCUACACCUCUUCCUCCUCCGUCACGUGCUUGGCGAAGCCCUGCCGGAGUCCUGCUGUUCCACCACCACGCCGUUGUGCUGCUGCUGGAGCCAUCAUCAUCAACCUAUCCUUCCCCCUUGCUGGAUCAAGAAGGAGGAGAUGUCAUCCGCUCCGUACGUGUGUUGAACAUGGAGGUGCCGUCCGUUCAGCGCUAGGAUCUCCAGUGAUAGGAUCACGACGAGAACGACUACUUCAACCCCGUUCUUUUGAACGCUUCCGCUCGCGAUCUACAAAGUGGUAUGUAGAUGCAUCUCCUAUGACUCGUAGCUUAGAUGAACUCAUAGAUGGAUCUUGGUGAAACCGUAGGAAAUUUUUUAAUUUUCUGCAACGUUCCCCAACAGAAUAUAGUGCCGCAAAGAUGUAGACUUUGGGCACAUAGUCACGACUCCAUCAUGUUAAAGUACCAUAGUUCGAGAACCAUGGCAACUUUGAGAGUGUUUGUUCUAUUUAUGCAUUAUGUAGGGUGAUAAUAGUCAUGAAUUGAAUGUCUCCCCCUAAAUAUAUGCCUCCAUCAAGACAAGACAUUAAGUUCAUGCAUGAAUGGGUACUAGAUUUUACAUGAUGUUGUCAAGCUCCAAGAUACCAAGUUCAUGCCUAAGUCGACAAAACCUUGCUUCAUCCAAUGGUUUUGUGAAAAUAUCUGCAAGUUGCAAAUCUGUGCCAACAUGAUCUAUGUGAAUAUCACCCUUUUCCACAUGAUCUCUCAAGAAGUGAUACCUAAUAUCAAUGUGCUUGGUGCGGGUAUGAUCUUUGGGGUUCUCAGCAAUAUUGAUGGCACUUUCAUUAUCGCAUAGAAGAGGCACAUGUCUAUAGGUGAUACCAUAAUCCUUCAAAGUUUGCCUCAUCCAUAGUAAUUGAGUUGCACAACUGGUGGUUGCAAUGUAUUCAACUUCUGCGGUAGAGAGGGCAAUACAAUUUUGUUUCUUCGAGGACCAACUUACCAAGGAGCGUCCAAGAAACUGACAUGCGCCGAAGGGUGGACUUACAAUCCACUUUGUCUCCAGCCCAAUUCGCAUCCGUGUACCCAAUGAGAUCGAACUUAGUGUCCUUGGGGUACCAUAAACCCAACUUUGGGGUGUGAACAAGGUAUCUAAGAAUAUGCUUAACCGCCUUAUGAUGACUUUCCCUAGGGAAAGCUUGAAAUCUAGCACACAUGCAUACACUGAAAAUGAUGUCUGGUCUAGAUGCACAAAGAUAAAGCAAUGAACCAAUCAUAGAGCGGUAAAUAGAUGGGUCGAAAGGAAUACCAUCUGUGUCUUCAGUGAGUGCAAUUUUGGUUGGCAUGGGUGUCUUGCAUGGGCUAGCAUUAGACAUGCCAAACUUAUCUAGGAUAUCCUUGAGGUAUUUUGCUUGAGACAAGAAAAUUCCUUCUUGAAAUUGUUGAAUUUGAAAUCUGAGAAAGAACUUCAAAUCCGCAUUGAGUGACAUUUCAAAAUUCUUGGUCAUUGAAACCGCAAACUUCUUGCACAAAUGAAUGUUAGGAGAACCAAAAAUGAUAUUAUCUAGAUAGAUUUGGCAUAAUAUCAAAUCACCCUUGUCCCUCUUAGUAAAAAGAGUGGGAUCGAUCACCCCUCUCACAAAAUCAUCAUCGAGUAAAAACUUCUUAAAAUGAUCAUACCAAGCACGAGGUGCUUGUUUGAGGCCAUACAAAGCCUUAUGAAGUUUAUACACAUAGUCUUUGUGACCUGGGUUAACGAACCCAGGUGGUUGUGACACAUAUACUUCUUCUUGUAGAGGACCAUUAAGGAAAGCGCUCUUCACAUCCAUUUGAUGUAAAGUAAAACCAUUGAAAGCGACAUAAGCAAGUAAGAUGCGAAUGGAUUCAAGACGGGCAACAGGGGCAAAGGUCUCACCAAAGUCCAAACCUUCAACUUGUGAGUACCCUUGUGCCACUAACCUUGCCUUGUUACGGAUGAUUACACCAUUCUCAUCUUGCUUGUUCUUGAAAAUCCAUUUUGUUCCAAUGACAUUGUGCCCGGUAGGUGGCCUCUUGACUAAUGACCACACUUGGUUGCGUACAAAACUGUUCAACUCUUCUUGCAUAGCAACGAGCCAAUCAUUGACCAUUAAUGCAUCUUGUACCUUGAGGGGCUCAACACUAGACACAAAUGAUAAGUGAGCACAAAAGUUUGUCAAAUGUUUAUGAGUGACUCUACCUUCCGAUAUGCCAGUGAGAAUUUUGUUAACAUCAACACGACCGGCGACUCGAGGCAUGAUGGAGGUUAGGGUUUCUCGAGGUUCAACUUCAUGUCCAUCAUCCACGUCCUCAACAUAUGGAUCAUUAAUGUGUGGUGGAAGAUCUUCUUGUUCAUAUUGCAUUUGUUGAGGUUCAUCAUCAAUGAUUGGACUUUCUUGUUCUUGCCCUUGAUGAUGAUCUUGUUCUUGAAGAUUAUCAUGCUGAGGAACUUGAUCAUCUUUUUGUACUUGGACUAAGGGCAUCGGUUGAACAAUAGGAGUUUGUGGUGGUAUUGGUGUUGAAGUAGUUUGAUGAUGUGUGAAACUUCCAUCUUCUUCUUCAUCAUCAUGAGCCUCUUGUUCCAUUGGAAGAAGUGCACCAACACCCAUGGUCAAAAUAUCUUGAGAGGAAUCUUAUUCACCUACAUCACUUAGAUCAACUUGCUCCCCAUGGGAGCCAUUAAAUUCAUUACCACGUCACAAGUUUCUACAACACAUCCAUUGGAUUUGUUGUAGACUCUAUAGGCGUGAGAGUUUGAUCCAUAGCCAACAAAUAUGCCCUCAAUUGUUUUGGAUUGAAAUUUUCCUAACUGUUCUCUUUUGUUGAGGAUGAAACAUUUGCACCCAAAUACACAAAAGUACUUGACAUUUGGCUUGUUCCCAGUUAGGAGCUCAUGUGGAGUCUUUUCCAAUAUAGUGCGGAGGAAGAGCCGGUUUGAUGCAUGGCAUGUGGUGUUGACAGCUUCGGCCCAAAAACUAUGUGGUGACUUGUAUUCAUCCAACAUGGACCUUGCCAUCUCCACAAGUGUACGGUUCUUCCUUUCGGCUACACCAUUUUGCCGAGGAGUGUAUGGAGCUGAAUAUUGAUGCUCAAUCCCUUCAUUACUAAGGAAUUAUUCCAAGGUAUAGUUCUUGAACUCAGAGCCAUUGUCACUUCUUAUUGCCAAGAUUUCUUUGUCAAACUUGCAUUGUGCUUGCUUGGCAAAAUCAAUGAAGGUGAUCUUUGUCUCGUCCUUGGACUUGAGGAAAACACCCAUGUAUAUCUUGAGUAAUCAUCAACAAUGACAAGUCCAUACUUUUUCCCACCAAGACUAUCCCAUGAAGGAGGCCCAAAAAGAUCCACAUGAAGGAGCUCCAGGGGCCUUGAAGUAGACACAAUGUUCUUGGGUGGGUGCUUUGAUUGAUGUUGCUUCCCAGCUAUGCAUGCACUACAUACACGAUCUUUCUGAAAAGAGACAUUGGUUAGUCCAAGGAUGUGAUUCCCCUUUAAGAGAUUUUGAAGAUUUCUCAUGCCGACAUGGGCUAGCCGGUGAUGCCAUGGCCACCCCUUGUCGGCCUUGGCCAUUAGACAAGUUGCAUGGAAUGUGCUCUCUUUUGAGAAAUCAACCAUGUAAAGGUUGCCAGCCAACUCUCCAACAAUGGCCACUUCGAGAGUAUCUCUCUUAAAGACUUUUACAUCCGUUAGUCCAAAGAGUGUAUCAUAACCAACAGAAGCCAAUUGGCGAACAGAAAGCAAAUGGUAUUUAAGGGAUUGGACAAGCAUGACAUUUGCAAGAGACAUGUCAUUUGUGAUAGCCACCUUGCCCAACCCGAGUACCUGUCCUUUUGAACCUCCACCAAACAUAAUGGUCAUGAAUGGCUGAAUAGCUUCCAUGAAAUCGUAGAUCAAUUUGCUAUCUCCGGUCAUAUGAUUGGUACAUCCACUAUCAAUCACCCAUUUUACUCCACCAGAGAAGGCAACCUACACAUAAUUAUGACUUGGUUAGAGGCACCCAUUUUGCAAUGGGACCUCUCAAGUUAGUCACAAGGGUCUUAGGAACCCAAAUAGCAUAGAAUUGGAAUGCAUUUCGAGGACCAACAAAUUUUUCAUAAACUUAUCCAUCCUUAGUCUUAUGAAGUACAUAGGAUGGAGGUAUGAACUCUUUUGGCUUGUUGAGAGUGGGCAUGCCCCUUGUGGCCUUCCCACUAACAACCUUACCUUUCUCCUUGUGCCCUUCUUGUACAAAUGUUUCCUUUAGAGGGGUUGUGCACUUUUGAGAGGACAUCUUCUUCUUGCUUGUGCUUGGGUCAAACCUAAGUCCCUCUUUAGCAAACACCUCAUUGUGUUGGCUCAAUACCUCAUUAAGGUUCUUUUUCCCUUGAGCACAUGUCAUGAAACCUUUCUCGAUUUGAGCCUUGAGGAAGCAAUUUUCCUCAAGAAUAGAUGCUAGAUCACUACUAUAGUUAGUAGUACAAGCAUCAACAUUGAUAAUAGGAGAAGAGUAAGCCUUGGCUAGAGUUUUAAGAUAAGUAAGUUUGAGCGUCUCAAAACUCUUUGUAAUAAGGGUGAGCUCUUCUUCCUUAGUCUUGAGGGACACGAAUAGAAGCUCACAAUCCUUAGAGAGAGAAGCAUGAGACUUCACAAGCUUACUUUUAUCAUUCAUCAACUCUUCUCAAGAGUCAAUAGCCUUUUUCAAGGAGGCAAGAUCUUUAGUACGAACAUCAAUGUUUGCACCAAUUUUUAAGCAUAGUUCAUCAUUUCAUGCUUUCUCCUAUUGGACUUUCCGCUCAAGGGUUUCACAUUUUUCCUUUUCCUCGGUGACGAGGGUUUCGAGUUCCUUAAUGGUGAUGGUGUGCUUACUGACCAUCUCCAUAAGCAUACGAAACAUAGUGAGCUUCUUUCCUUUGAGGGAGCACAUGAACUUAUUAAGUUUAGCAAGCAUAGGAUCAUCUAGAUCAUCAUCCUCAUAACUAUCCUCCGCAUCAAGAUACUCAUAACUAGGAGUAGAAGGAGUGAAAAGAGGAGGAUUUGAUCAUGGGGUUACCUUGACCUUGUCAGGAGAGCUUUGGUCCUCUCCAUCUUCUACCACGGCCUUUGCCAUUAGGCACUUGUGAGCGUUGCCCUUAUAGUCUUUCAUGUAGUUGUAGGUGACCACAUCACCACUCUGUUCACUAACCUCAAAGUGUUUUGAGAGUCUUGAGCAACUCCAGCAACACCACUAACAUCAUCCGGAUCGGAUUCUUCUUGAGCAACCAUUGCUUUCCCAUCUCUCUUCUUGAGCUUGGAGUUCAAAGGAUUUGGAAACUUCUUCUUGGGAAAGGUCUUGGGAAACCUUGGUCUAUCCUCUCUCUUCUCAUAAGGGCACUCGUUGGAGAAGUGGUUGGUUUCUUCACAGUUGUAGCAUUUUCUUACUUUCUUCUUUUGAAAUCUUCCCUUGAAUUUUCCGGCGCUAAACUUCUUGACAAAGAGAGCCAUGUCUUCAUAUGAAGGGCCCUCAUCGGAUUCAAUCUCAUCACCAUCUUCAUCAUCGUCAUCAUCUUCUUCUUCUUCACUUUGCUCAUCUUCACAUACAUGCUUGGCCUUCAAUGCAAGAUUGAUCUUUGAUGUUGGAGUACCAUGCAUGGCAAGAUGUUUUGUGGCAUUUGCCUUUGACUCUUCAAAUAGUUGGAAGGUGGAUAUGAUGUCAUAUGUAGUCAUUUCCUUGAAGGCAUGGUGUUGUCUUAUGUCCUACACCAUUUGAUGGUGAUAUGGGGCAAGAGCAUGAAGCAACUUAUCCACAAGGAAUCACUUAGUCAUGUUGAAUCCAUCUUGUGUCUUGUCACACUCACACAACUCAAUGUCAGCGGUGAGAGUCAUGAGACGCUCAAGGAGUUGAUUAGGAGUUUCACCUUUCUCCAUACAAAAGUUUUGCAAUUGCCCCUUGGCAAUUUCAUAUUGAGCACUCCGGAGGGUGGAGGUACCGGUCUUGGAUCUUAUAAUACUUUCUCAUAGUUCCUUGGCACUUGUGAUGUGUAUGAACGGUCUCCUUUGCUUUUCAACCAUACCUCUCCUUAUACACAUGGUUGCAGUGUCAUUGAGAUUCUUGUCAUAAAUUUCUCUUGGUAUAGGAUUCUUUGGAUCAACCACAUGGUAACCAUACUCCAAGAUCUCUAGCAUCUCAUCGUUUCCAUAUCAAAGAUGACCCUACAUAGCAACUCUCCACAAGGCAAAAUCGGAAGUGGCAUCAAGUAAAGGAGGUUUUCCUUGAGGAUUAUAUUUCGGUUUCUCAAAUUGGGGUCUUGCAUAAAGCCAAGGAACACUAGAGUGAUCAUGCUAGGAGGUUGUUGACCAAGUGACGGAGCAGGCACAGUUGGCCUCGAAGCCGCACCACCCGAAAGUGGUGCAAGCACCAUGGACGACGUGGAUAAUCUCAUUUGUACCAAGGCCUCAAGGGAAGCAUCAUGCUCCUCUUUUUUCUUAGCAAGGGACCGUUCCAGAUCCUCAGAAGUAAAGGACUUGAUUACAGAAGAAGCCUCGCCUUUAUCCUUCGGAUCUGCAACAAGGGGAGUCCCAUCGGGGUUCAUCUCGCUGUAGGACGGUUAAUUCACAAGAAUAGCACGAGGAUCUGAUACCAAUUGAGUGGAUCGAGAUGGACCUAGAGGGGGGGGGGGAGGGUGAAUAGGUACAAUUACAAAUUUUAAUUAUUACUUAGCAAUUUUAGGCAAUAAUGCGGAAUAUGAAAGUGAGCCUAACAAUUGCAAGUGUAUUACUAAGUGCUAAGCAAGUAACACGAGUAUGUAAGUGAGCAAGCACAAUAUGAUAUAAGUAAGUGCUAAGAGACAAGUAACCACAAGUAGAGAGUUAGGGUUAGGAAUAACCACAACUCUGGGAGACGAGGAUGUAUGCCGAUGUUCACUUCUUUGGAGGGAAGCUACGUCACCGUUAGAGAGGUGGAUGUUACCACGAAGGCACACCAACGCCACGAAGGCUCACCCUAUUCUCCCUUUGAGACAACACCACACAGACAUUUCUCAACCACUAGUGCUAGACCUUGGGGUGGUCUCCAAACCCUCACAAACUUUUCCGGAGGUAAUCACAAAGGUCGAUUCCUCUCCGAAAGACUCCUACCGCCUAGGAGUCUCCAACCUCCAAGAGUAACAAGAACGAUGGAGAAAAGCUCAAGACUUGCUCAAAUCACGAAUUCCUUUGGUGCAAAGAAGGAGUAGGAGUGGAUCUAUCACUUGAUUGGACAACUUCUCUCAAAUGCUCUCAAAUCCCUUGGGGAUCUAAGAUUUGGUGUGGAGGAGUGAGAGAGAGAGUGAAAUGUGUUCUAGGGUUUGUUCAAAGUGAGUGGUCAGCCCUAUCCCGUGGAGAAGAAGGGCUAUAUAUAUAGUGUGAGCACAAUUAUGGCCGUUGUAGUGUAAGCGAAUGGGCAACCCGGACAUCUGGGCUAGGGGUCGGACAUCCGGCCUCGCAAGGUUCGAGGAACAAAAACAGAAUCAGAACAGAAGACAGAGGGGCCGGACAUCCGACAUAUCAGGAAGGCCAGGAUAUCCGGCAGAUGGGCGGACAUUUGGCGUGAUCACUAACAGGUUACAAAACCUCAGAUAUUCUACGGGUAGUGGAGGUCGGACAUCCGGGAGGGCCCGGACAUCCGGCGUAUCAGGAAGGCCCGGACAUCCGGGGAAAUACCCGGAUAUCCGUCAUGCAGCACAACACAAACGUGUUCUCUGGAUGGCUAGGCCCAGAUAUCCGGCAAGUAGGCCGGAUAUCCGGCGCGAGGCCCGGACAUCCGGCGCGAGGCCUGGACAUCCGGCUUGAAACCCGAACAUCCGGCAGCCAAGAGACAGAAACAUGAAGGUUUUAGCAUGUGCAUGUAUGGCAAUGAGGUUUGUGGCAAGAGCAAGCCUUUAACUAACCCUAUCGAUCCCCUCUUAAUAGUGCGGGAUCUUAUACUCAAGAAAACAAAUAUGAAAUCAUUUUUUAUGCUUCAUCCUUGAGUAAAAUCACUUUGUAUGCUCUUGAUCCACACACUUCGAUGAACCGGGGACUAACACCUGAGAUUUACUUAACAACCAUUGUUAGUCCCCUACAUGUAUAUUGUCAUCAACAUCAAAACAUGAUGUAAGGGCAUGAUUGCUCUUUCACCCGCAUGGCAACUGCUAAACUUUGACAGAUUUCAACUCUUUCUUGUCCAGGCAACUUCCAACUUCAACACAUGGCAACUCUUGAUUAUCAUGGCAACUGGUAGGUUUGACACAUGGCAACCAUUGUACAACUUGUAUACCAAUUUCAUGCUUUGUUUCAAAUGGAAACUCUGGCAUAUCACACAUGACAUUUGAAGUUGAUUUACAUGGCAAUUACUUGUUCCUGCAUCUCAACAUUUUCCCCUUAACGUGUUAUUUCUAAUGGUUGUCUACUCGUUCUACAUAUUCUAUAGGGUAAAGAAGACUACUUCAUGCUCGACCAAUCUCAGUACUAAAGACCCACUUGAACGCAUUCACUCGAAGCUGUCGACACUCGCUAAUGCAGAUAUUCAUGAGCCGCCAGUUGAUAAAUCUGCCGCUGCACCGUCCACUGUUGCCACUAGUUCUGAUGCACGCAACCAUCCAUCAUUACAAAAAAUACACUUCCUUAAUGAUACAUGUUUGUAAGAGUAGGUCACGUUUUCUGUCAUGCAUGUACAUCCAUGGCGAUUUUAUGACAGAAUUGGGAUAGUCAUACCUGUGCUGUCGUAGAAGUGUUCCAUGACAAUACUCAAAUUAUCAUCACGAAAGUGUCCACUUCCAUGACGAUAAAUGUCGCGUCAUGGAAGUGCUUUUGUCAAGGGUAACCGACACGUGGCAUCCACCGCAACGGGUCACCGUUAUGCUAUCGUGUUCCAGCUUGGAUCCGAUAACCCGUUAACAACCCGGGCCAAUGGGGAUUUUCCAUGUUUAAAAUUCUGAUUCACUGGAGGAUCCACGUGUCAGCUCAGCAUUGGACCAGAUGGCAUCCAGCGAAUGGACGGAACACGCCUAUGAUACGUCGACACGUGGCUCAACCCAAGAGUGGCCCAUUCAGGUCAAAAGGCCGGCUCGUUGACUUGGUCAAAAGGUAGCGGCCCAGCCCACAGAAAGCCUAUUAAUAGACUGUUAGCAUAUAGCCCAUUUACAGCCCGCUAACUCACGACCCGUUAUGGCCUAUCCGAAUUAGGCCCAGUAGCGUCAUCUGGGAGAUCCAAUAUGAUUCUAGCCCAUUGUAACUUUCGGCCCAUAUAUGGCCCAUGACGUCUUAUGGCCCAUAUGCGGCCCUUUGUAACUCCGGGCCCAUUAACGCCCCAUGGUGAAACUGGCCCAUAAUGUAGAGUGUAUCGCUUUAUACCCAUUAACGGCCCAUUAUUCCGUUGGGCCGUUUACAACCCGUGUUAUCUUUCGGCCUUCUAGGGCCCAUUUAUUCUUGGGCUCAUUUUCAAUAUUUGAUUACUUAUAGUCUGUUACUCGCCUGUUCCACUUGUAGGCCAAAUUCAGCCUGUGGUUAGAGUUGGCCCAUUUGUGGCCCAUUAAUCCGAUGGGCCAUUUUCAUAGCGUCAUCAAAUACGGCCCAUGAAUGACCCAUUAUGCAUGUCGUUAUAGUUAAGCCCGUUAUAAAUAUCGGCCUAUUAACAACCCGUUAUGGUCAGCCCAUAAACAGACAAUACCCACUCUAGCCCGCCCAUAUUGAGAUCUGUUAUUGGUCCAUGAAUAGUAUGGACCAUGUCUGGCCAAUUGAUCAUACGACCAGAAGGCCCAAUGAUUCUACGGCCCGUAGAAGCCUCAUUGAUUUUAUGGUCGUAUAAGGCCCAUGGAUCCUAUGGCCUGUAGGAGGCCCAUGGUCACUACAAUAGGUAGCAGGACCAUGGUUACAACGGUCCAUAUGUUCCCAUGAUUUUUUUGACUGGGAACUAUGGGGUAACACCCCCACAGCAUUGCAAAACUUUAUUUCUUAGAAGAAACAAGUACAACAAAGUGAUUACAAGUGGUAAUCAAAAAGCAGAAACUAGGCUACAAUAAACUAGAUUACAAGGGGAGGGGGGCAGAAAUGCCAUACUACACUAAACCUUAAGGGGGAAGGAAAGAAAUCCACUUGAGAAGGUCAUCCUUGUAAGCAGAUUUUAUCCUGUAUUGCAACAAAGAGAUAUCAUGCCUAAAGGCACCUCUCCACUUAUUAAAGAUGGCCCUCUCAUUUCUGAAGACUUUGGCAUUCCUAAUGAUCCAGAUAUUCCAACAUUCAGUGAACACCACUUCAGAGAAAAAAGGUUUAUCAAAGGAAUUCCUAGCCCGAAUAAGCAAAUCAGACAUUGAGUCUCCAGAAGACCAAUCAAUAUGUAGGUAAUUCCAGACUCGAACACUGAAAUUGCAGUUGAAAAAAAGAUGAUCCCUGGUCUCUCUGGCCUUCAAGGGGCAGAGUCUACAAUGCACUCCAUCCUCCAUGUGCCAAUGCCUUCUUUCCACCAUAUCCUUUGUAUUCAGCCUGUCCAUGAUGAGCAUCCAAGCAAAAACCUUAAUCUUGAUGGUACAUGAAGAUUUCCAUAUCCAACAGAGCAAAGGGUUAAAGGUUUUAGACUGGAAAGUGAGGGAGUAAAACAUCUUGGCCCUGUACUGCUUGGUGGAGUUCUGCCAAAACCACACAUCCUUAGAGCCAGAUGCUCUGCUGUGAGAACCCAUUAGAGAUUGAAUCAAACCCAACUCCUGAAAUGCCUGAGCAGACAAAGGUAGAUGAAAAUGCCGAAGAAUAUCCCGAGAACAGAAAAACUCUUUGACCAAAAUCCAUGGGUCCUUAACAUAUGAAAAUAAUCUAGGAAACCUUGAUUGGAGAGAAGAGACCUCAUCACCAAGAUUCCAGUUGUCUGACCAGAAGAGAGCAGUGUCUCCCUCAUUAAUCUGAACCCAAGAGCAUUCACUAAAACUCAGCAUAACCUUGAAAAUAUCCUUCCUCUAGAAAGAGCCACAAGCAGAUGCUCCUUGGGGCACUCUACCAUGGUAAUAAGAGUCCCAAAUGAGGGACACCCAUGGAAUACCCUGCCUAUUGAGGAAGUUACUAGCAUGUUUUAGGAGCAAGGAAAUAAUCUGCACCCCAAGAUUGAGGAUACCAAGUCCACCCCUAUUUUUUGGUCUGCAAAUAAGCUCCCAAGCGGCAAGGGAGGGGGCUAGUUCAUCCCUAUGCUUUCUCCAUAAACACUGCCUCUGGAUUCUCUCCAACUGCUUAAGGAUUCCUGCAGGAAUAGCUAAACUGCAUAUAAAGAAGAUGGGCAUGGAAGAUAAAGCAGAGUUGAAAAAUUGAAGCCUCUCCCCUUGAUUGAGGAAAGAAGAGCUAGAUGUCAUUCUUCUCUCUAUGCAGUCCACAAGUGGCAUAAAAUCCACCAUUUUGGGCCUUGUGGUGCCUACUGGCAGCCCAAGGUAAGUGAAAGGCAUUUUCCCUACUUGGCAACCAAAAGCAACAGCCAGAUCACUCAACACAACAGGAUCAACAUUUAUGGGGAUGAGAAAGGAUUUAUGAUAGUUGACAUCAAUGCUAGUGGACUGAGCAAAUACAUGGAGCAUAUCUUUCAAAGCCAGAAGGUGUGUCCUAUCAGCAGGUAAGGUAAUGAGGGUAUCAUCUGCAUAUUGAAUCACAGGGUAAUCCUGGUCAUGACAAGGGAUAGGCAAGUGUAGAAUUCCUCUUCUGAACAUGUCAUUGAUAACUGUUUGCAAAAGAUCAGCAACUAUAACAAAUAGAAGUGGGGAGACAGGACCCCCCUGCCUGACCCCCUUUUUGCAGACAAAUUUCCUCCCAGGGACACCAUUAAGAAGAACUGAAGAGGUACCAGUGGCAAGCAGUUGCUUCAUCCAAAGAAUCCAUUUCUCAUUAAACCCUUUGUGCCUGAGAAUUUGAAAAAUAGCUUCAUGUUCCAAUGAGUCGAAAGCUUUUUCAAAAUCCAACUUAAGGAUAACAAUUGCCCUCCUAGAUUGAUGACGCUGAUGUAGGUACUCAAAUGUCCAACCUAAGCAAUCCUGAAUGGUUCUACUCUUAAUAAAUCCAUAUUGGUUCUUGUGAAUGCACUACAGGAUCACCUCUUGAAACCUAUUAGCUGCCAUUUUAGAGAGAAACUUUAGGCCCAUACUAGUAAGAGAAAUAGGCCUAUAUGUUCCCAUGAUUAUUGUGGCCUAGUUUUAGAAAAUAGGUUAUUUGGCCACUAGCAAACCGCAGAAAUAAAUAAGCAAGCAACUUAUGCUAGGCUAUUACGGCUAUUACACAUAUCACAUCCACUGGGCAUGAAAGUUUGCCACUAGUGCAAAUAUAGGUAACAGAGCAGCAUAUUACAUACACUAGGUGUCUAAAUUGGCCACCAGUGCAAAUAAACGUGGCAACAAAACAAGUCUAUAACUGAAACAACUUUAGAAGAGCUCAAGAAAUGUUAUCCUGGGUAUCCACCAUGCUGGCAAUAAGCUUAGCAAGCUUAUUAGCUUUCUCCUGUUUGGCACUAAAAUCCUCCAAUGCUUGCUGUUGCACCAGAAAGUAUGCAUCGGAAUUCUCCAGGGACUUCCUCAGUCCUUCGGCUUCUUAUCGCAGCACAACUGAUCGAUGUCUUUCAGCUUGUAGUUGAGACUCAAGAAACCCACAUGAUUUAGACAGUGUGUUCGAAGAGCUUAUGCCAGUGGUAGUGGCCAGUAACUCGAGCACUACAUCAAGACAUGACUUUGGGGUUGUCUCACUGUCUUCAAGAUAGUUUUCCUUAGCUGUUUUAUCAGCUUUAUUGGAGACCAACAAGGAUGUCUCACUAUCCUGAACCUUAUAUGUAGUACUUCCUUUACCAUUGCUUAAUAAGGUACUCUUCCCCAAUAUUUUGUCAGUAUUCUAAAAGAAGAAACAAGAGACACGUAACAUGUUCAACAUGUAGUAUACGAAACUCAUUUCGGUGAACCAGUUCAGUAGUAAGGUGGACAAGAUUAAACUACCAAGUCUUCUAUUGCAAAGUAGUUAUACAUCCAUUUUGCAUCAUGUUUUCCUAUUGUUAUUUAUAAUGUUUUAAUGCAUAAUAAUGCUUUUGGGAGUAAUUCUAAUGCCUUUUCUCUCAUAAUAUGCAAGGUUUACACAAAGAGGGAGAAUACCGACAGCUGGAAUUCUGGACCUAAAAAAGCACAUCACAACUAGCUAUUCAGCACAACUCCAAAUAGGUUGAAACUUCAAGGAGAUUUUUAUGGAUUAUUUAAGAAUUAUUGGAUCAAGUAACUAUCAUAGGGGCCCACCAGGUGGGCACAACCCACCUGGGCGCGCCAGGGAGCCCAGGCGUGCCUUGGUGGGUUGUGCCCUUCUCGGCGCACCUCCGGUGCCCCUCUUCUGGUAUAUAAGUCCUUUUGACCUAGAAAAAGAAAUAAGGAGAGGACUUUCAGGAUGAAGCACCGCUGUCUCAAGGCGGAACUUGGGCAGGAGCACUUUUCCCUCCGGCGGAGCGAUUCCGUCGGGGGAACUUUCCUCCCGGAGGGGGAAAUCAUCAUCAUCGUCAUCACCAACAACUCUCCCGUCUUUGGGAGGUCCAUCUCCAUCAAAUCUUCAACAACACCAUCUCGUCUCAAACCCUGGUUCAUCUCUUGUGUUCAAUCUUUCUACUGGAACCGUAGAUUGAUACUUGUGGGUGACUAGUAGUGUUGAUUACAUCUUGUAGUUGAUUACUAUAUGGUUUAUUUGGUGGAAGAUUAUAUGUUCAGAUCCAUUAUGCUAUUUAAUACCCCUCUGAUCUUGAGCAUGAUUAUCAUUUAUGAGUAGUUACUUUUGUUCUUGAGGUCACGGGAGAAAUCACAUUGCAAGUAAUCAUGUGAACUUGAUAUGUGUUCGAUAUUUUGAUGAUAUGUAUGUUGUGAUUCCCUUAGUGGUGUCAUGUGAACGCCGACUACAUGAAACUUCACCAUAUUUGGGCCUAAGGGAAUGCAUUGUGGAGUAGUUAAUAGAUGAUGGGUUGCUAGAGUAACAGAAGCUUAAACCCUAGUUUAUGCACUACUUCAUAAGGGAUCGAUUUGGAUCCAAAAGUUUAAUGCUAUGGUUAGAUUUUAUAUUAAUUUCUCGUAGUUGUUGAUGCUUGCGAGGGGGUUAACCAUAAGCAGGAGGUUUGUUCAACUAAGAACAGCACCUAAGCACCGAUCCACCCACAUAUCAAAUUAUCAAAGUGGCGAACACGAAUCAAGCUAACAUGAUGAAAGUGAUAUGAUGAAAUUCCCGUGUACCGUCAAGAACGCUUUGCUUAUUAUAGGAGACCGUUUUGGCCUUUCCUUUGCCUCAAAAGGAUUGGGCUACCUUGCUGCAAUUUUGUUACCAUUACCUUUACUUGCUUGCUACAAAUUAUCUUGCUAUCAAAGAACUUGGUACCGACAAUUUCAGUACUUGCAGACAUUACCUUGCUGAAAACCGCUUGUCAUUUCCUUCUGCUCCUUGUUGGGUUCAACACUCUUACUUAUCAGAAGGACUAUGGUUGAUCCCCUAUACUUGUGGGUCAUCAAGGCUCUUUUCUGGCGUCGUUGCCAAGGAGUUAAGCACUCUUGGUAAGUGGAAAUUGGUAAGGGAAAGUUAUUACUACAUGCUGAAAUUUAUUGUCACUUGUUACUAUGGAUAAUCAUCCUUUGAGGGGUUUGUUUGGGGUAUCUUCACCUCGACCAUAACCACAAUUAGUUGCCCCUCAACCUACUACACCUACUAAAAAUAUUGGUUAUGAAAUUCCUUCGGGUAUGGUAGAACAACUGCUAGCUAAUCCUUAUGCAGGAGAUGAAACCGAACAUCCUGAUACACACUUGAUAUAUGUGGAUGAAAUUUGUGGAUUAUUUAAGCUUGAAAGUUUUCCUGGAGAUGAAGCUAAGAAUAAGGUUUUCCCUUUAUAUUUUAAGGUAAAGGCAUUGGCAUGGUAUAGGCUAUGCGAUGAUAUUGGAUCUUGGAACUGGAAUCGAUUGAAAUUCGAAUUUCACCAAAACAAUUAUCCUAUGCAUCUAGUUCAUCGUGAUUGGAAUUAUAUAUAUAAUUUUUGGCCCCAUGAAGGAGAAAGUAUCUCUCUAGCUUGGGGGAGGCUUAAGUCAAUGUUAUAUUCAUGCCCCAAUCAUGAGCUCUCAAGAGAAAUUAUCAUUCAGAAUUUUUAUGCUCGGCUUUCUCAUGAUGAUCAAUCCAUGCUCGAUACUUCUUGUACUGGUUCUUUUAUGAAGAAGACUAUUGAAUUUUGGUGGGAUAUUUUAGAAAUAAUUAAAUGCAACUUUGAAGAUUGGGAACUCGAGAAGGUAAAGAGUCAGGUAGUAAGCUUGAAUUCUACUGUGUUAAAUCCUUUAUGAAUACCGAUUGUUUUUCAGAAGUUUAGCACUAAAUAUGGACUUGACUCUGAGAUAGUAGCCUCUUUAUGUGAAUCAUUUGCUACUCAUGUUGAUCUUCCUAAGGAGAAGUGGUUUAAAUAUCAUCCACCUAUUAAAUACGAAAUUAAAGAACAUGUCAUAACUAAAGACGAAACUACAAUGUUGACCCAGUUGUUCCUACUGCUUACAUUGAAAAAUCACCUUUCCCUGAUAGGAUAAAGGAACAUGCCAAGGUUUCAACCGUGUCAAUAAAAGUUACAUUAGAGCACCUAAACCUGCUAAACAAAUUAAAGUAGAACCUAGUGUUGCUAUGGUUAAAGAUCUCCUGGUAAAAAAAUAUUGAUGGGCAUGUUAUUUACUUCUGUGAUGAAGCUGCUAGAAUUGCCAAACUCGAUGAAAAAGAUAAACAUAGACCUGUUAUUGGCAUGCCUGAUGUCUCAGUUAAAAUAGGAGACCAUUGUUAUCAUGGUUUAUGUGACUUGGGUGCUAGUGUGAGUGCUAUUCCUUUUACCUUAUAUCAAGAAAUUAUGAAUGACAUAGCACCCGCUGAAAUAGAAGACAUAGAUGUCACUAUUAAACUAGCUAAUAGAGACACCAUCACACCACUUGGGACUGUUAGAGAUGUUGAAGUCUUGUGUGGGAAACUAAAAUACCCUACCAAUUUUCUAGUUCUUGGUUCCGCACAAGAUGACUUUUGUCCCAUUAUUUUUGGUAGACCUUUCUUGAACACUGUCAAUGCUACUAUAGAUUGUCUUAAACAAACUGUCAGUGUUCGCCUUGGUGAUGAGUCUCAUGAGUUUAAUUUUUCCAAGUUUAAUAUUGUCACGCCCAAUAUGUGAUACUAUCCUAAAGAGACUCGAAGGUCCCACCAAGGAUAGAACCGCAUAUUGAAACGCUUUUGCAAGGUGGAUAUCAUUACAUCAACAUUACAUAAUAGAUGGGUAUACAUACAAGAGGCAUACAAUGCCACACGAAUACAACAUCACAAUACAUAAGAGCAUCAUCCGACUAUGGGUGAAACACAAACAGAAACUCAAACGACAUCCACCCUGCUAGCCCAGGCUGCCGACCUGGAACCUAUCCCCUGAUCGAAGAAGAAGCAGAAGAAGAACUCCAAAACAAGCAAACAUCGCUCUCGCAUCAAGAUCAUCGCAUAACCUGUACCUGCAACUGUUGUUGUAGUAAUCUGUGAGCCACGAGGACUCAGCAAUCCCAUUACCAUGGGUAUCAAGACUAGCAAAGCUUAAAGGGUAAGGAAGGGGUAAAGUGGUGAGGUUGCAGCAGCGACUAAGCAUAUAUGGUGGCUAACAUACGCAAAUAAGAGCGAGAAGAGAGCAAGCGGAACGGUCGUGAAGCUAGCAAUGAUCAAGAAGUGAUCCUGAACUCCUACUUACGUCAAUCAUAACCCAAAACCGUGUUCACUUCCUGGACUCCGCCGAAAAGAGACCAUCACGGCUACACACGCGGUUGAUGUGUUUUAAUUCAUAUCUGGUGUCAAGUUAUCUACAACCGGACAAUAACAAAUUCCCAUCUGCCACAUAACCGUGGGCACGGCUUUCAAAAGUUUAUACCCUGCAGGGGUGUCCCAACUUAGCCCAUGAUAAGCUCUCGCGAUCAACGAAGGAUAUACCUUCUCCCAGGAAGACCCGAUCAGACUCGGAAUCCCGGUUUACAAGACAUUUCGACAAUGGUAAAACAAGACCAACAAAGCCGCCCGAUGUGCCGACAAAACCCGAUAGGAGCUGCACGUAUCUUGUUCUCAGGGCAACACCAGAUGAGACUAGCUACGAGUAAAACAGACUUCGAGUUUCCCCGAGGUGGCCCCACAGGCAGCUCGUUUCGGACCAACACUCGAAGGAGCACUGGCCCGGGGGGGGGGGGGCUAAAAUAAAGAUGACCCUCGUGUUCCAGAAACCCAAGGGAAAAAGGGCUAGGUGAGGCAAAUGGUAAAACCAAGGUUGGGCCUUGCUGAAGGAGUUUUAUUCAAAGCGAACUGUCAAGGGGGUCCCAUAAAUCACCCGACCGCGUAAGGAACCCAAAAUCCGGUAACAUAACACCGAUAUGACAGAAACUAGGGCGGCAAGAGUGGAACAAAACACCAGGCGUAAGGCCGAGUCUUCCACCCUUUACCAAGUAUAUAGAUGCAUUAAUUAAAUAAGAUAUUGUGAUAUCCCAACCAUAAUCCUGUCCAUCAUGGGGCAAUCUUCAACUUCACCUGCAACUAGCAACGCUAUAAGAGGGGCUGAGCAAAACGGUAACAUAGCCAAACAACGGUUUGCUAGGAAGGGUGAAAAGGUUAGAGGCUGACAUGGCAAUUGGGAGGCUUGAAGAGCAAAUGAUAGGUAGCACAGCAAAGCGAUAGAACGAAGCAACUAGCAUAGCAAUGAUAGUAGUGAGAUCCAGGGUAGCGGUCAUCUUGCCUGAAAUCCCGCUAGGAAGAAGAACGAGUCCAUGAAGAAGACGAACGAGAGUAGUCGAACGAAUCCUCACAACUCCGGAACGAAACCGAAGCUAACGAGAGAAUCAAACCGGAAAGAAGCAAACAACAUGGUAAACAUGCAAGCAUAAACAUGUCAUGAUGCACAAACAAGUAUGAUGCAUGUCCGGUUUAAUGAGGCAUGGCAUGACAAUAUGCACAAACUACAUUACAAGUUAAGUGGAGCUCAAUAUGCAACAAGUUGCAUAUUGACGAAACACCACAUUCGAUUUAUUUAGUUCUCUCUCGUUUAGGUACACAACAAUAUUAAAUGUUGUUAAACAUGGCAAGAGGUGAAACAUAUGAAAACUACCUAUCUAGGCAAGUCUAAAUGAAGCCGGAAACAACAACAACAAUUCCGGAAAAUCCUCAUAUCCAUAUUUUAGUUUUGGUACUGUUCUGCCCUAAAACAUAUUUAUUGUUGUUAAACAGGAAAAUAAAUCCCACCAUGUUAAACUAGGCAUUUUUCCACCCCAUUUACAUAUAAAGUUUAUUUAAAACGGAGCUACGGUUAUUUAGUUAUGAAAUAAAUCAUUUUAACAUGGCAUUUGAGAAAAUUUAAACAAACAACAUUUUUAAACAUCUUAAACAUGGAUGAAAACAGCAUAUUAUGAAACUAGAUGAAAAACUAAGCAUUUUACAUGUUUACAACAUUUUAAUCCGAUGCACGGUUCAUGAGUUAUUAAAUGCAUGAAGCAUGAGGGUUUUUCUGCAAAUCUGUAAAUCAUUGGAUAAUGCUAAAAUCACAGAUCUGUAAAAAAACAGACACAGGCCGAAUCUUGCUGCACUGCUGGGCCAACAGAGAGGAGGGCUGGGGGGUUUCUCACCAUGGGCCAAGGCCCAGUUGAGGAAGAGGAGGCCGGGCAGGCCGGCUGGAGACGCGCUGGGCCUUGGCGUGCUGGACGCGACCCAGGCGCGGGUCAACGCGCGGCGGCAGCGUGCGGUCGUCCUCUGCUCGAAUGAGGAUGAGGGAGAAGAUAGGGGGCGAUGCAGGGGAAGCAGAGGCAUGGAAAUUGGGGACGAGCGCUUCGGCGAGGGACUUGGCGGCGCAGGGAAUGGAGGGGCGCGGAUCUGGGUGCAGGGGAGGACUUGGCGAGGCUCGACGGCACGAAAUGGUGCUCAUGAUAGCAGGGGCGACCUCCUAUUGCUCCUGUACCUGGCGAGAGAGAGAGAAUUUGAGAGAGCGAGAGAGACAGAAGGAGGAGAACGAAGGGACAGAGAGAGGGACGAGGCCGGUCCUGGUCGACGAGGAAGACGGGGCACGUAGAGGAGGAGCGAUGCCGGGGCUUGGUGAGCUCGGCAUCGAGGAAGGAGCUCCGACGAGGUGACAAGCGGGAGGAGGAGGCACAACCUCACGCGUUUCCUUGGGCGCGCAGGCUUGGGAGAAGGAGCUCGAGCUCCUGGUUGCUGCUGGUCGAGCUCGACGUCGUUGGCUCACCGGCCGGCGCGGCGGGGCGGACGGGGUUGCCUCGAUCCAGAUCGGGGCUGCUGGCGGUGGGAUCUGCAGGAACCGCGGGGCUACGGGAGGCUCUCUGGGCCGUCGGAUCUGAGAUCUGGCGGUCCAGAUCAAGUGGGGUUUGGCUGGUGGAUCUGGCCAAGUGGAGGCAGGGGACUGGGUACGCGCGGAUUGCAAGGAGAGAGCGGCGGCGACUGCGGGAUUGGAGGGAGUUGGUCUGCCUAGGGUCUAGGUUUGACCCGAUUUGGAAUGAGUAGCUUAUAUAUAGGGAAAGGAUAUGGUUUAGGUUAGAUUUGGACCCUCCGAUUAAAUCGGAGGGUCGAGUAAAGAUAGCUUAGGAGAGUCCAACAAAUAAACGCAGAUGUUUUAUAGAUGUUUGGGGAUGAUGCGGACCCAACGGUGACGACAUCCUGGGUCGGGUUCGGGACAACUUCCGGAUGCGCUCGAGGGGUCGAUGCACUAUGCAAAGAGGGUCAAACAGUCGGACAACAAUGAACGGUUGGUCUCGAAAGGGAUAAAGAAGGCAAGGGGAACGCGGCAACUACGAAUGGGAACGAGUUUUAUGAAAACGAUGCCGAUGCAAUGCGAAUGAUGACAUGAGACGAGAUGCAUAACAAGAACAAAAUGCAAAACAACAGACAAAAACCCAACCACGAAGGAAAUAUCAAAUCGCAUCUCCGGAAAAGGCAAGAGUUGGAGUUACGAAUAUGGAAAGUUGUAUCCGGGGCGUUACAACACUCCACCACUACCAGAGGAUCUCGUCCCGAGAUCUAGGAUGGCACUGGAGAGAAACAGAAGAGGAAGAGAAGAGGUAAAGCUAAGUUGCUUCUUUGACGAAUGAGUGAAACCAUGAACCUUGAGAGGUUGAGCAAUAUGAAAGAAAGAAAACAACGAAGAUGAACAUAGUUUAAAACACUCCGUUAGAAAAGAGGAACAAGGGAUACGACGAGUACCAAGAGGUUUAGUGAUAAGAUAGAUAUUGAAACCCCUCCGGUUAAAACUAGAUAGAGAAGGAAUAAGAUUGAUAUAAUUUGGGCAGCACUCCGACUGAUAGAUAAAGGAAAACUCGAUAAGAUGAAAAGAACUUGAAGAGAAGACACAACACUUCGGUUAAAUGGAUAAGCACGAAAAACAUGAUCCUCACAAUUCGAGAUGAUGAGUGAAGAGAGCAACAUCACCAUGCCUCCGGAAGAAAGAAUAGAAGAUAGAUCACUGGAAUAAAAGAAUGGAGAAGAAAAUGCCAACUUCUACCACAAAUGAACUUGGAAAGCAUCCUUCCUAGAAGGUUAAAACGGAGUUGUUGGAAAACCAACAACGAAAAGAAUAAGCUUGUAGUGGGCUUAUGGAAACAUCUCAACACUUGAGGUGAAAUUCUGCCACUAACGAAAAACAAUUGCUUGUUUGAGAUCAAAGAAGAGAUGAAAACUUCUUUCACCGAGAGGAUAGGAGAAAACUCGGAUCAUUGAUAAGCACCACAAAUAGCAACAUUCCUUAGGGAAGGCUUUAGGUGAAAUCUAUACCAAGAUAACUCCAAAGAAGAGAUUGAUGGAUUUAAAAUACCUCAUUCUAGACAACAUGUGAAUUGCGACACCUGAAUGGAAAUUGCCAAGAAUGAUAUAACACCACCUCAAAAGCUAAGGUAGAAAUAAUUGCACUUUGGAAUGCAAUAAGAAGAAUAAUUGAACGCCUCAAAACAAAACAUGUGUUGAUCACCAUGUUUAUUUUAGAGUAUAGCUUAGCAGAUCAUAACUUCGAGAGAAAUCCUGAAGAACAAUUGAAGAAUGAAAAGAAUCCUUGAUGAACCAUCAUGUAGAGCCUCCAUGAAGAACUCCAGUAAUAAAAGGAUGAUAGAAAGAAAGAGAGGUUUAAAACACAAGGUGAACCCUUGCAAUGAUUUAGAUGGAGCUUCGCGACGAGAUAAUUGAGAGAGCUUGGAAUUCCGAAAAGAAAGAUGAAGCCUCUCGAACCGAGAAUGUGAUAUGAUGACCAACUCCGGAAAGAAAGAUGAAUCACUUGUAAUCAAGAAUUUAUUCAUCAUGAAUAAUCUCUGUAAAAAGAAUUGAAUCACCUCGAGGAAAUAAGAAUAAGAUUUAUUGUAUGCUUAUCCUUCAUCAAUUAAAUUGAUGACAAGCAAUGGAUUUGGCAUACUACUUAUUCUCGUAGAAAGGAUUAAGAAAGAUAUAGCGUAAACUUGAGAAGGUAUUGAUGGAACCACCAGUGGGAUUUGAAAACAACGAAUGAAUUGAUAUGAUAACAAAGGAAGUGAAAUCUUGAACGAACCACCGUAAAAAUUGAAAAUGAAAGUAGCAAAGGCACAAAUCACCGGGAAGAAUGGGAAAACGAAUGAAGAUACUUGAGGCGAUUUAGAUACAUGAGAACGAAGAGUUCACGAACUGACUAGAGGGUAUCUGAACGAUUCACCAGUAAGAUUCGGAGAACGAUAGCUACACGCUGAGAAUGAAGAAUUAUGACAUGAUGGCCUUCGGAGGAAAGAAAUGGAAACAACUCAUGAAAUGCUUCGGAUGGUAAGAAAAGAAUUUUCACAAUUAAAAACAAUUAUGAGGAUGGCAUGAAGCUAGAACCAUGAAUCUUCGAGAGAAUGGAGCAAGAUUUAAGAGAAAUCCUUCUUCGGUCUUCAAAUGUUGAGAAUGAUGAUGAGAACCACCAUGAAUUGUUGAGAUACUCCGGGAGAAUUAGAAGAGGAAAUGUUGAGCCAAAGAUGAAAAGAAUUUGAAAAUGCCCUUGGAGAAGGCAUGUGACUGAUGAAAAUUCAUUCUUACGUCAAACUUUGAAAAGAAUUUGGGAAUAGCUCCGGGAAUAAUUAGAAGAGUCAGGUAAGAUCCUGGGAAAAGACCUGCGGGUUAGGGCCCACUUGAAAAAACCAUCAUUGAAGGAUUGAUUGAAAUAGAUAUUGCACCGGUAGAAUUAAAUAGCUUGAAUGAGAGAAAAACCUUGAAGUAACUCGAACAGAUUAAGAAUGGAAACAUGAUUCUUCUGAGAUAUCUUGAGCACUCCGGAUAAGAAUAGAGAGAGGUGAACAAUUAAGAGGUGCACCGACAUGGAAAAACAUUUGAAACGAGGAAAAGAAUAUGAUGAUUAUCGAAAGCUUGAAUUGGAUCCACUGGGGAAGAAACAACAAUGAAGGACGAUGAACUUGAAAUUGUUGAGCAUCUUCAUGGGAAAUCACCGGAUAAGAACAUCGAGAGAAAAUAAUGAAGAGACUUCCCACAAAUAAAAGGAUACAUGAUUAAGAAAUCUGAGUCCGUGAAGAAAAAGGGUGGGAGGGCGGGAAAACAAAGGAAACUUGGGAUGAACGAAACAAACACCGUUGAGAAAACUUAGAAUUCAUCUUGCAGAUGGGGAGAAUGAUGGGAUCAUCUCGAAGAGAAACGCACCGGUUGAAAAAAAAUUAACAUGACAACCUCAAUGAUCCAAAGGAUUAGCACUCUCAUAGAAAUAUGAGAACGCCAUUUUGGAAAGGUAUGGAUUCAACAUUUGACUUUGAAGCAACUCGAUUACCAGAAUUCAAAACAAAACAAAGGAUUUGGCUUGCAGAAUAAGCCGGAACAAACAUAUGAUAGAGAUUUCAUCCGAAGUUUUCGUGGUGGGGCCCACACGGGCUCGAUCGUACAGCACCAUCAUGUACAAGGCAGUGCACAUGACAUACGAAGUGUCCCCGAACCGGCAAAGCCAAGGGCUCUUUAAGACACAACGAGACCACUAUAAAAACGACCGUGGACAGGCGGACCACUAGACGUCGAACCCCAAUCUCAUAUCAUGCAUCUGUCGGAAAGAUAUUCUAGGAGCUACUUGAAUUCCCACCUAUAAAACUCCCAAAACUUUCUGGCUAUGCAAUAUGGUGUUGGGGAUACAGGGGAAGCAAUAUAUAUCUCACCCAAAACUAACAAGCCCUACAUCCAAGCUGUAUCCAUCCGUCAACACAUAACCAAGAAACUUCGGAAAUCGUGUACCUCAACCUUCGAAAAGCAUCCGUUAUACGAGCUAUGGCAAUACUCCCGAACUCCCACCCCAAUACUGGGUGGCGUCGAGGUUAUCUCACCAACAACUGCAUAAAAGAGAUUUUCGAUGUCGGCAAAACUCAGGUAUUCCAGAACUGCAACGAUAAAAUUGUGACAACAACACCUCAGAGCUCAACUCCCCGGGAUACUGCCACAAAAAAGACAGGAGGCACCAAGAACAAUGUUCUCGUCACAAAACCAUCGGAACGAUUCCAAGAUACCCGCGUGAUCCUAAUUUUUUUAGUGAAAUUUGAGGAGAGGAAAGUCAAAACAUCUAUGUCAGGAGACCUCACCAGAGCGAGGAAGGGACUGAGGAGUAAAAAGAAUCCUGCUCUCCGAUAUAUUUAAUCCUAAGACUCAAAAUAGUUUUCUUUUAGACUCAACAACAGCCAACAACCAAAGGGGCUUCUAUGGUCGGUCGAGGCUCUGAUACCAACUUGUCACGCCCAAUAUACGAUACUAUCCUCAAGAGACUCGAAGGUCUCACCAAGGAUAGAACCGCAUAUUGAAACGCUUUUGCAAGGUGGAUAUCAUUACAUCAACAUUACAUAAUAGAUGGGGAUACAUACAAGAGGCAUACAAUGCCACACGAAUACAACAUCACAAUACAUAAGAGCAUCAUCCGACUACGGGUGAAACGCAAGCAAAAACUCAAACGACAUCCACCCUGCUAGCCCAGGCUGCCGACCUGGAACCUAUCCCUUAAUCGAAGAAGAAGCAGAAGAAGAACUCCAAAACAAGCAAACAUCACUCUCGCAUCAAGAUCAUCGCAUAACCUAUACCUGCAACUGUUGUUGUAGUAAUCUGUGAGCCACGAGGACUCAAUAAUCCCAUUACCAUGGGUAUCAAGACUAGCAAAGCUUAAAGGGUAAGGAAGGGGUAAAGUGGUGAGGUUGCAGCAGCGACUAAGCAUAUAUGGUGGCUAACAUACGCAAAUAAGAGCGAGAAGAGAGCAAGUGGAACGGUCGUGAAGCUAGCAAUGAUCAAGAAGUGAUCCUGAACUCCUACUUACGUCAAUCAUAACCCAAAACCGUGUUCACUUCCCGGACUCCGCCGAAAAGAGACCAUCACGGCUACACACACGGUUGAUGCGUUUUAAUUCGUAUCUGGUGUCAAGUUAUCUACAACCGGACAUUAACAAAUUCCCAUUUGCCACAUAACCGCGGGCACGGCUUUCGAAAGUUUAUACCCUACAGGGGUGUCCCAACUUAGCCCAUGAUAAGCUCUCGCAAUCAACGAAGGAUAUACCUUCUCCCAGGAAGACCCGAUCAGACUCGGAAUCCCGGUUUGCAAGACAUUUCGACAAUGAUAAAACAAGACCAGCAAAGCUGGCCGAUGUGCCGACAAAUCCCGAUAGGAGCUGCACAUAUCUCGUUCUCAGGGCAACACCGGAUGAGACUAGCUACGAGUAAAACCAGACUUCGAGUUUCCCCGAGGUGGCCCCGCAGGCAGCUCAAUUCGGACCAACACUCGAAGGAGCACUGGCCCGGGGGGGGGGGCUAAAAUAAAGAUGACCCUCGGGCUCUGGAAACCCAAGGGAAAAAGGGCUAGGUGAGGAAAAUGGUAAAACCAAGGUUGGGCCUUGCUGGGGGAGUUUUAUUCAAAGCGAGCUGUCAAGGGGGUCCCAUAAAUCACCCAAACGCGUAAGGAACGCAAAAUCCGGGAACAUAACACCAAUAUGAUAGAAACUAGGGCGGCAAGAGUGGAACAAAACACCAGGCAUAAGGCCGAGUCUUCCACCCUUUACCAAGUAUAUAGAUGCAUUAAUUAAAUAAGAGAUAUUGUGAUAUCCCAACCAUAAUCCUGUCCAUCAUGGGGCAUUCUUCAACUUCACCUGCAACUAGCAACGCUAUAAGAGGGGCUGAGGAAAGCGGUAACAUAGCCAAACAACGGUUUGCUAGGAAGGGUGAAAAGGUUAGAGGCUGACACGGCAAUUGGGAGGCUUGAAGAGCAAAUGAUAGGUAGCGCAGCAAAGCGAUAGAACGAAGCAACUAGCAUAGCAAUGAUAGUAGUGAGAUCAAGGGUAGCGGUCAUCUUGCCUGAAAUCUCGCUAGGAAGAAGAACGAGUCCAUGAAGAAGACGAACGAGAGUAGUCGAACGAAUCCUCACAACUCCGGAACGAAACCGAAGCUAACGAGAGAAUCAAACCGGAAAGAAGCAAACAACAUGGUAAACAUGCAAGCAUAAACAUGUCAUGAUGCACAAACAAGUAUGAUGCAUGUCCGGUUUAAUGAGGCAUGGCAUGACAAUAUGCACAAACUACAUUACAAGUUAAGUGGAGCUCAAUAUGCAACAAGUUGCAUAUUGACGAAACACCACAUUCGAGUUAUUUAGUUCUCUCUCGUUUAGGUAAACAACAAUAUUAAAUGUUGUUAAACAUGGCAAGAGGUGAAACAUAUGAAAACUACCUAUCUAGGCAAGUUUAAAUGAAGCCGGAAACAACAACAACAAUUCCGGAAAAUCCUCAUAUCCAUAUUUUAGUUUUGGUACUGUUCUGCCCUAAAACAUAUUUUAUUGUUUUUAAACAGGAAAAUAAAGUCCACCAUGUUAAACUAGGCAUUUUCCACCCCAUUUACAUAUAAAGUUUAUUUAAAACGGAGCUACGGUUAUUUAGUUAUGAAAUAAAUCAUUUUAACAUGGCAUUUGAGCAAAUUUAAACAAACAUCAUUUUUAAACAUUUUAAACAUGGAUGAAAACAACAUAUUAUGAAACUAGAUGAAAAACUAAGCAUUUUACAUGUUUACAAAAUUUUAAUCCAAUGCACGGUUCAUGAGUUAUUAAAUGCAUGAAGCAUGAGGGUUUUUCUGCAAAUCUGUAAAUCACUCGAUAAUGCUAAAAUCACAGAUCUUUAAAAAAACAGACACGGGCCAAAUCUGGCUGCACUGCUGGGCCAACAGAGAGGAGGGCUGGGGGGUUUCUCACCAUGGGCCAAGGCCCAGUUGAGGAAGAGGAGGCCGAGCAGGCCGGCUGGAGACGCGCUGGGCCUUGGCAUGCUGGACGCGACCCAAGCGCGGGUCAACGUGCGGCGGCAUCGUGUGGUCGUCCUCUGCUCGAAUGAGGAUGAGGCAGAAGACAGGGGGCGAUGCAGGGGAAGCAGAGGCACGGAACUUGGGGACGAGCGCUCCGUCGAGGGACUUGGCGGCGCAGGGAAUGGAGGGGCGUGGAUCCGGGCGCAGGGGAGGACUUGGCGAGGCUCAACGGCACGGAACGGUGGUCAUGGCAGCAUGGGCGACCUCCUAUUGCUCCUAUACCUGGCGAGAGAGAGAGAGAGAGAAUUUGAGAGAGCGAGAGAGACAGAAGGAGGAGAACAAAGGGAGAGAGAGGGACGAGGCCGGUCCUGGUCGACGAGGAAGACGGGGCGCGCAGAGGAGGAGCGAUGCCGGGGCUUGGUGAGCUCGGCGUCGAGGAAGGAGCUCCGGUGAGGUGACAAGUGGGAGGAGGAGGCACAACCUCGCGUGUUUCCUUGGGCGCACGGGCUUGGGAGAAGGAGCUCGAGCUCCUGGUUGCUGCUGGUCGAGCUCGACGGUGUCGGCUCACCGGCCGGCGCGGCGGGGCGGACGGGGUUGCCUCGAUCCAGAUUGGGGCUGCUGGCGAUGGGAUCUACGGGAACCGCGGGUCUGCGGGAGGCUCUCUGGGCCGUCGGAUCUGAGAUCUGGCGGUCCAGAUCAAGUGGGGUUUGGCUUGUGGAUCUGGCCAAGUGGAGGCAGGGGACUGGGUACGCGCGGAUUGUGAGGAGAGAGCGGCGGCAGCUACGGGAUUGGAGGGAGUUGGUCUGCCUAGGGUCUAGGUUUUACCCGAUUUGGAAUGAGUAGCUUAUAUAUGGGGAAAGGAUAUGGUUUAGGUUAGAUUUGGACCCUCCGAUUAAAUCGGACGGUCGAGUAAAGAUAGCUUAGGAGAGUCCAACAAAGAAACGCAAAUGUUUUAUAGAUGUUUGGGGAUGAUCCGGACCCAAUGGUGACGACAGCCCGGGUCGGGUUCGGGACAACUUUCGGACGCGCGCGAGGGGUCGAUGGACUAUGCAAAGAGGGUCAAACGGUCGGACAACAAUGAAUGGUUGGUCUCGAAAGGGAUAAAGAAGGCAAGGGGAACGCGACAACUACGAAUGGGAACGAGUUUUAUGAAAACGAUGCCGAUGCAAUGCGAAUGAUGACAUGAGACGAGAUGCAUAACAAGAACAAAAUGCAAAACAACAGACAAAAACCCAACCACGAAGGAAAUAUCAUAUCGCAUCUCCGAAAAAGGCAAGAGUUGGAUUUACGAAUAUGGAAAGUUGUAUCCGGGGCGUUACAAAUAUACAACCUCACAAGAAAGAAUUACCAAGUAAAGAUGAAAUAAUUGGUCUUGCUUCUAUUUUUGUGCCUCCUACUGAUCCACCAGAGAAAUAUUUGCUAGACUGUGAAAAUGGUAUGCACAUGCAUGAAAGAAAUGAGAUAGAUAAAAUCUUCUUUGAACAAUGACCUCUGCUCAAACAUAAUUUGCCUGCUGAAACUCUAGGAGGUCCUCCUCCGCCUAAAGAUGAUCCUUUGACAAGACGUGCCAAGGAAACCGCCUCGCUAAACGCGCCGAGGAGGGACAGUAAAACGAUUCGAAUGAAGGCUUGGCCGUGGCAUGAUGUCUCGCUACGGAAUAUGUCAGCAGAUUAGAUUUGUACAAAUAUUAUUCUCUCUACGGAGGUAUGUGGAACUUAUUUUGCAGAGCCGGACACUAUCCUUGUGUUCAAAAUCUUCUAUGAAGUAUUCAGAGGAGGAACCCGCCUUGCAAUGUCGAAGACAAUUGGCGCGCCGAACUCGUCGUCAUUGAAGCCUGGUUCAGGGGCUACUAAGGGAGUCCCGGAUUAGGGGGUGUCUGGAUGACCGGACUCCUGGACUAUGAAGAUACAAGAUUGAAGACUUCGUCCCGUGUCCGGAUGGGACUUUCCUUGGCGUGGAAGGCAAGCUUGGCGAUACGGAUAUGUAGAUCUCCUCCCAUUGUAACCGACUCUGUGUAACCCUAGCCCUCUCCGGUGUCUAUAUAAACCGGAGGGUUUUAGUCCGUAGGACGAACAACAAUCAUACCAUAGGCUAGCUUCUAGGGUUUAGCCUCUCUGAUCUCGUGGUAGAUCUACUCUUGUACUACCCAUAUCAUCAAUAUUAAUCAAGCAGGAUUAGGGUUUUACCUCCAUCAAGAGGGCCCGAACCUGGGUAAAAACAUCGUGUCCCUUGUCUCCUGUUACCAUCCACCCAGACGCACAGUUCGGGACCCUCUACCCGAGAUCCGCCGGUUUUGACACCAACAAGGAGUAUGGCACAACUGCAACCACAAAGCCAGGAAUGAAAACAAAGGUUCCAGCAUGAAGAGUUCCUAUGUCAAAGGCCAGAGCAUCCACUCAAGAGACUUUGGGAUCUGAGCCCAAAAAGGCUGCUGCAGAAGGAAAGAAGAAGGAAAGAAAGAGAGGGAGAUGGUGCAAGAGAGUUGACCCAAUGGCAGAAUUUGAGAAGCACUCUUCUGAUGAGGAAGAAGAAGAGGAAGAGGAUGCUGCUCCAGCACCCAAAGCUCAAAAGCUCAUGGGAGAUGCAAUCAAGUCAGGGGCUGCUCCAUCAAAGCCCAAGUCUGCUCCCAAAGUUCCUGCUCAAAAGACUACACCCAAGAGGAACACCAGAAGUAUACUUGCAUCAGAGAAGAACAAGGCCCCAGUGCCUGAAGCUGCUAAAGAAGAAGAUGACUCUCUUGUUUUGAGGAAGUUGAAGCCCAAGAUUCCUGACCAUAAUGAUGCUCAUCCAGUUGCUGAAGACAUGCACAUCAGAAAGGAUGCCGGACUGAGAUUAUGGAGACAGUCAGAUCCAUAUGCUGUAAGGAGAAGGACAACAGUUGACUACCGAUUUCACACAAAGGAGAAACAUGAUUUUUAUGAGACAAUUCUGCUUGACAAGAAGCCCAUUGUAUGAGACAUGAGAUGGAUCAACUGGGAGUACUUCAAGAAGAAUGAAGCUCACUAUCCAGGAGUAUAUGACAACUUCAAAUCAUGUGGAGUUGAUGACUUUGUUGCCCAGAAGCUCACCAAGUGGAAUGAUGAGCUCAUCAUGCAGUUUUACCCCACAACUCACUUCUACCCAGAUGGGAAGAUCAUAUGGAUGUCUGAGGGUACUAGGUACCAAUCCACAACUGAAUAAUGGGCUGAGUUGAUCAAUGCUCCAAAUGAAACUGAAGAUGAUUUGGAUGUGUACGCUGAGAAUAGGAAAGACCACAACUCUAUGGCACAAAUGUAUAGAGAGAUCCCAGAUAAAGCCUUGGAAACACACAAGCUUGGAUCUGUACACUUCUUGUUGUUUGGUCUGCCUAUAAUCAACUGGAUUCUUAGGCACACAUUGCUGCCAAUGUCAGGAGAUCACAAGAUGAUCAAAGGACAUGCUAUCAACUUGCUGCAUUUGUUUGAUAUACCUCAAAAAUUCAAAGUCAUGAGUCUGAUUGUGGAAACAAUCAAGAGAACAGCAGCUGAUCAGAAGAGAAUUUGUGGGCAUGCUCCACACAUUCAAGAGCUCAUCAACUAAAAGAUGGGCACAUGCACAUAUUUGUUGGAUAAGGAGCAUCUACCCUUAUAUCCUGAGUUUGAAGAUAACACUGUUGAGAUGAAUGAGGAGGAACCAUCAUCUGUACAAGCACACGAGAAGAGAGAGAAAGUUGCAAAGAUGCCAACUGCUAAAGAGGCAUCUCAAGUGUUCCUGAAGAGCAAGCAAGAUCAGCUUGGCUACUUAAUUGCCUCCACCUUGAGGAUUGAGAAGGGCUUGGCCACCCUGACUCAAAACCAGGAGAGUUUGGAGAGAAUCAUUGAGCAGAAGUUCUAUGCUCUUGAUGUGAAGGUCACUGAGAUCCAAACUGCAGUUGAGCAACUUCAGGAGGAAGUGGAGGAGAAGAAGGGCAAGUCUACUACAAAAUCUUUUGCUAGAGUGCCUAGAGGUCAGAGAUCUGCUGCAGUGCCUGUUCCAGACACCAGAGCUACAUCAUCUGUGCCAGCUACAACUUCAGUGCCACCAGCUCCAGCAGCCACUCCACCAGCUCCAGCUACAUCAACUGAUGCUUUCGUCCUUGGAGUCAUCUCUACAACACUUCAUGAAGACCAAGCCUGAGAGUCGUUUAGCACUAUGCAUUUUUGAACUUUUUGGUAACUUGUUGCCAAAGGGGGAGAAAAAUGUAUAGAUCAUAGGCUUCGAGAGAGAGUGUUGCUUUUGAUCUCUCUUGUUUUUGGUGGUUGAACUUAUUUAUUUGUGUGUUUGCUUGAUACAUUAUGCCUUUUGUGAGAUACUUGGAUGAUCAUGUGUUUGAUCAUAUGCUACCUUAAUGCUUGUUGGAUGAUAUUACCUUUUAUAUCCUUAUAUGAUCAUUCACUUUGCUUGGUGAUGAGUGCAUGUGUUCAAUCAUUAUCAUUUUAAGCGCUCCACCAAGAUGUAUGUGACAUGGAAGAGUAACCCAUGAUCCUAACACAUUGUGCAUUUGCAGUCCAAAGCAAAUUUUAAAUAAUGCACAAAUUUAGGGGGAGCUCUUGCUUAUCACAUACUUCUCAAAGCAUGAUGUUUUUCAAUCUUAUUAUCAUUUGUCAAAGCUUUGAUCUAUAUGUUGUCAUCAAUUACCAAAAAGGGGGAGAUUGAAAGUGCAACUAUCCCUGGGUGGUUUUGGUAAUUCCUAACAACAUAUAGCUCAUUAAGCUAAUGCUAUUUCAAGAUAAAUAUGUCAGGAAAGCUCAAUGAUUGGCAUGGCAUGGAUGAGAAAAGUGGAUCCCUCAAAAUGCUAAGGACAAAAGGAUUGGCUCAAGCUCAAAGCACAAGACUCUACAUUUUCCAUUUUAGGGAUCCAAGAUCACAUUGAGUCCAUAGGAAAAGCCAAUACUAUCAAGGAGGGAUGAGGUGUUGCUUAAUGAGCCUCUUGCUUUAAGUGCUUAGUGAUAUGCUCCAAAACCCUCAACUACUUUCUCACAUCCACAUAUGUCCCAAACCAUAAGUCAAACUCGGCCCCACCGAAACUGUCUAUCCGGCGCCACCGAGUUCUGUUAACAUAGCCACUGCCACAAACCCUAAUCUUUUCGGUCUCACCGAUAGGGAUCUCGGUCUCACCGAGAUGGGAUUGUAAUGUCUAUGUUUCCCUUCAUAAUGUUUCAGUCAAACCGAGAUGAGCGAUCGGUCCCACCGAGAUUGCAAUGCAAACUCUCUGUUUCCCCUUUGUAAUGUUUCGGUCCAACCGAGAUGAGCGAAUCGGUCCCACCGAGUUUGCCUGACCAACGCUCUGUUUGUCUAUUACCAAAAUUGAUCUCACCGAGUUUGUGUAAUCAGACUCACCGAGAUUAUGUUAUGCCCUAACCCUAAUGAUAUCGGUCCCACCGAGAUGACAUGUCGGUCCCACAGAAAAUCCUAACGGUCACAUUAUGAACUAAAUCGGUCUGAUCGAGUUUCACGAUUCGGUCCCACCGAGUUUGGUAAGUUGUGUGUAAACGGUUAGAUUUUGUGUGGAGGCUAUAUAUACCCCUCCACCCAUUUUUCAUUCGUGGAGAGAGCCAUCAGAACAUGCCUACACUUCCAACAUAGAUUUUCUGAGAGAGAACCAGCUACACUUGUGUUGAGAUCAAGAUAUAUCAUUACUACCACAUAAAUCUUGAUCUCUAGCCUUCCCCAAGUUGCUUUCCACUCAAAUCUUAUUUCCACCAAAUCCAAAUCCCGUGAGAGAGAAUUAGUGUUGGGGAGACUAUCAUUUGAAGCACAAGAGUAAGGAGUUCAUUAUCAACACACCAUUUGUUACUUCUUGGAGAGUGGUGUCUCCUAGAUUGGCUAGGUGUCACUUGGGAGCCUCCGUCAAGAUUGUGGAGUUGAACCAAGGAGUUUGUAAGGGCAAGGAGAUCGCCUACUUCAUGAAGAUGUACCCUAGUGAGGCAAGUCCUUCGGGGGCGACGACCAUGGUGGGAUAGACCAGGUUGCUUCUUCGUGGACCCUUCGUGUGUGGAGCCCUCCAUGGACUCGCGCAGCCGUUACCCUUCGUGGGUUGAAGUCUCCAUCAACGUGGAUGUACGAUAGCACCACCUAUCGGAACCACGACAAAAACAUCCGUGUCUUCAAUUGUGUUUGCCUACUCAAACUCCUCCCCUUUACCUUCAUAUGCAAUUGUUUUACAUUCCGCUGCUAUACUCUUAGAAUUGCAUGUAUAGGUUGAUUGCUUGACUUGUGCUAAGUUACUAAAAUCUGCCAAGAACUAAAAUUGGGAAAAGGCUAGAUUUUUAUUUGGUCAAGUAGUCUAAUCACCCCCCUCUAGACAUACGUUCUAUCCUACACCAUGUUUUUUGAUUUUGGUUUUCGCUUGAGGGCAAGCGAGGUCUAAGCUUGGGGGAGUUGAUACGUCCAUUUUGCAUCAUGUUUUCCUACUAUUAUUUGUACUAUUUUUAUGCAUAAUAAUGCAUUUGGGAGUAAUUCUAAUGCAUCUUCUCUCAUAAAAUGCAAGGUUUACACAAAGAGGGAGAAUACCGACAGCUGGAAUUCUGGAUCUGAAAAAGCACGUCAAAGCUACCUAUUCUGCACAACUCCAAAUAAUCUGAAACUUCACGGAGAGUUUUUAUGGAUUAUUUAAGAAUUAUUGGAGCAAACAACUACCAGAGUGGGCCCACCAGGUGGGCACAAUCCACCUGGGCGCGCGAGGGAGCCCAGGCGCGCCCUGAUGGGUUGCGCCCUUCUCGGCCCACCUCCGGUGCCCCUCUUCUGGUAUGUAAGUCAUUUUGACCAAGAAAAAAAAAA